AUGUGGUUGUCGCAACAGCGUUAGCCCUGGAUUGCGUCAACGCAAACCUGAAAUGUCGACCAACAAUGCAGCAGGUGGUGAACCGAUUUGAAGUGGGCAGGCAAGAACCAACUAGGCCUUUGCAUACCAUUGCUGUGAAUCAGCUUGUUAGUCCAGUACUUUCGCUGCGUGACCAAACCUGCGCAGAUGGGACGAGUAGCUUAAGCACCAUAAAUGAAUUCCAUGUGUUGGAUAUCUCUGCGACUCUGCCAUCAUCCAAUUUUUCUAUCCAUGUUUCUUCCUAAACAACUUUGACAUCUGGUAGGAAACAGAAUACGAUCGUGCUUUGCAAAAAUGGAAACUUGGCCAAGCACUUAGAUUGCUGCUAGAUAAGGCCAUUUGGUGUGCUAAUGAAAAAAAAAGUGUACUCAUUAAUGAACAAGUAGUUUAAGCACCAUGAAUGACUUUCAUGUGGAUAUCUCUGCCAUAUCCAAUUUUUCUAUCGAUGUGUCUACCUACCUAUAAUAUUUAUACCGAAGGAGAAUUUACCACUUGUCUUUAUUUAUGUAGGUGAAUUCUAGGCAGAGCAACACUUACCAAUCUAACAAUUUGCAAUUCCAAGUCUAGAUUUAAAGAAAUAUUAGUUUAAGGAUUCAAAUAUACAAAACUCAUGCCAAAAAUGAUAGGAUCAGGUCAAUCCAAAGUUGUAUUUUAAAAAAAAUAUGUUGCAUAAAUUCAAGCUUGCAUAGCCUAUAGGGAUAAUUUCAGAAACCUCCCUUGAGAUUUUUGACGAUUGCAGAGACCUCCCCUCAAGUUUAUUAAGUUACACCUACUUCCCUUGCUUUUACUAUUUAUGUAACAAUAUAGGCCAAAAGGCUAUAUUUUUUUUUCAAAAAUCCUAAACUACCCUUUUUGUACAAAAAUAAAACAAAAAUUAUUUUGCCAAUUCCUUUCUUUCAUAUUUCAACCAAACCCACUGUACUAACAAACUAACCUAACAAAUAGUCUAAUUCCAAAUUCUAAACCCAAGUAAUUCCAUCAUCAUAGUUAUAAAAUUGCUUCUCCCAAAGCAUGCAUUCAAUUUUGAAGAUUCGUUCCAUUUUUCAAAAAUAUUCUCACCAUAUGGUUACAUGGAACGGUCAAACUCACAAUCAACUGUUCUUAUGUUUGCAUAAUCUUUAAUAUAGGAUGCCAUGGUUUGGUUCCAUAUAAGUGGUUUAACUCCUACUACAUGAGCCACAUUGUGGUCUUGAAGAAAAUCCUUAGGGAAGAUUUAGGUAUGGAUGGGAUUAAUCAAGUUUAAGAAAAGGAAAGGCAUCAUUAUGACUAUAGAGAUCUUCAAAAAAUUCAUUGUGCCUAAAAUCAAAAUUCUAUUUACAAUUAAUCACACCCCAAACUUCAAACCCAAUACCCACACUUUCUCAAAACAAAAUAAUCCAACCUACUAUUAAAUCUCCAAACAUGUUAACGUUUUAAAUACAGAGAAGAAACUCUAUCUUCAUAACGAAACCACAACCAACAAUUGUCAAGCAUAAAAAGAAACAGGGUAAAAUACCAAAAAUCCCCCUGUGGUUUGCCAAAUGUACAUUUUACAUCCCUAUGGUUUGAAAACCUACAAUUUAACUCUCUGUCGUUUCAACUAAAAUGAAAAUCUGACAGAAAACAUCUAAACUAAUGUCUAAAUGGAAAAUGUCAAAAUUGCCUCUCUAGAAGUCAAUUCCUCGGAAGAAUGUUUCGUGCAUUUGAGAAUAGGUAAAAUACCAAAAAUCCCCCUGUGAUUUGUCAAAUGUACACUUUACCUCCCUAUGGUUUGGAAACACACAGGGCAUCAUUGGCAAGUGAAAAUAUUAUCACAACCACAACUCUCAGCAGAAGUGCGUGGCACUUAAAUACCGUUAUUGUAGAUGUUUUCUGUCAGACUUUCACUUUAGUUGAAACAACAGGGAGUUAAAUUGUACGUUUCCAAACCAUAGAGAGGUAAAGUGUACAUUUGGCAAACCACAUGGGGGUUUUUGGUAUUUUACCCAAAGAAAUAUAAAUGUACUUAUUGACAUCUUAAAAGGUUUUUUGGAUGGAUGAUAGACAUAUUAGCAAAUUUAUCAAUUUUAAACGCUCUUCCUCUUUUGGCCAAUGAUUGCAUUAUUUGUUCCAUUAUUAUUGUGUGUCUCUUCAUUUCCUUUUAAUUUGACCGUGAAAUCGGAUUUUACUUCAACCAUCAAAUCUAAUCUCUUAAAUAAACUUGUGAUUUAACAAUUUCAAAGAGAAGAAAAGAGGAAUAGAAAUAUAUAGUAGGGGUGUGAUUGGUUGCAAUUAUAGGCAAUGGUUGGUGGUAAUUUGAGAGCGAAUUAUAGGAAGAAGGGGUUGAUGAAUGAAAACAGAAUGCUAGUAAGCGAGAGAAUCGUCGUUAGCUGUAACUUGUAAACAGGAUAGCCGAAAAGGUUAAGUUUUUUUUUCUAUUUUUUUUAAAUCUCAUUUCUUUAUACUAUGAAUUAUUUAUUAAGUGAAUGUCAUUAUAGUCAUAUUAUUGUGACAAGAGAGGUUAGUGUAAUUUGUAAAACUUGAGGGGAGCCAAGUGAAAUUGUCAUAACCUCAAGGAGGUUUGUGAAAUUAUCCCUAACCUAUAACCUAAUUUAAAAUUUGAACUCUAAAUAUGUAGCAUGCAUUUGCCUUUACUAGUUAAAAGAGAAAAAGGAAUUUCACACGUAAGAAAUUAUUGAAACAUAAAUGGUGCAAACUUUCUUUUAAAAAAAAUUUAAUAUAAAUGUGCGAGUUUUUAUCAAUCUCUAGUUUGCCAUAUAAACAUAGAAUGAUUUUCAUAUGAAUUUAUUAUAUCACCUAUUAGUUUUAAUUCACUAAACUCAACCACAGAAAAGAAAAAACAGGAACAUCAAGUUUCGAAAUAUGGAACCUAUAUUCAGCGGGCUACUAUUUUGGUGCUUAUGACCCCAUAAGUCGAUUGCUGCAAUUUUUUACUUCCUCCUAGGAUGCCCCAAAAAAAAAAAAAAAAGAGUUUCCCGGUUGCUCAUCAAUUGAGGAAAACGCUGGUGAUUCCUUUUUUUUUUUUUUUUUUGAGGAAAAAGCUGGUGAUUCCUUAUUGCUUCCUGGAUUUUUAACCUAAAGUGUAUAAUAGCUUGAGAAAACGUAGUAAUAUUAAAAGAAAUUCUGGAGCACAUCAAGCACCCCAUAGCAUCCAAGUAAAACAGCGAGUUGAUUUUUGGCGUUGUGGUGCUAGAAACACUGUUUGGAGAGCUUCCGCGAGAAUUCCUUUCUUGCAUAUCAUCACAACCCAAUGAACCAAGAAUGCUGAAGGAUCUUCUAUAUGCCCGUCUGCCCCCUCCGACUAAUCCUUUGGUCGUUCGUAAUGUGGUUCUCGCGACAGCGUUAGCCCUGGAUUGCAUCAAUGCAAACCCGAAAUGUCGACCAACAAUGCAGCAAGUGGUGAACCGAUUUGAAGAGGGCAGGCGAGAACCAACUAGGCCUUUGCACACCAUUGCUGUGAAUCAGCUUGUUAGUCCACCAGUACUUUCACUGCGUGACCAAACCUGCGCAGAUGGGACGAGUAGCUUAAGCACCAUAAAUGAAUUCCAUGUGGAUGUCUCUGCGACUCUGCCAUCAUCCAAUUUUUCUGUCCAUGCUUCUACCUAAACAACUUUGACAUUUGGUAGGAAACAGAAUAAGAUCGUGCUUUGCAAAAUGGAAACUUGGCCAAGCACUUAGAUUGCUGCUACAUACUGCCAUUUGGUGUGCUAAUGACAAAAAAAGGUGUGCUAAUUAAUGAAGAAGUAGUUUAAGCACCAUGAAUGACUCUCAAGUGGAUAUCUCUGCCAUAUCCAAUUUUUCUAUCGAUGUUUCUACCUACCUAUGAUAUUUAUAGCGAAGGAGAAUUUACUACUUGUCUUUAUUUAUGUAGGUGAAUUCUAGGCAGAGCAACACUUACCAAUCUAACAAUUUGCAAUUCCAAGUCUAGAUUUAAAGAAAUAUUGGUUUAAGGAUUCAAAUAUACAAAACUCAUGCCAAAAAUGAGAUGAUCAGGUCAAUCCAAAGUUGUAUUUAAAAAAAAAUAAAUUUGCAUAAAUUCUAGCUUGCAUAACCUAUAGGGAUAAUUUUAGAAACCUCCCUUGAAAUUUUUGACAAUUGCAGAGACCUCCCCUCAAGUUUAUUAAAUUACACCUACCUCCCUUGCUUUUACUAUUUAUGUAACAAUAUAGGCCCAAAAGACUAUAUUUUUUCUCAAAAAUUCUAAACUACCCUUUUUGUACAAAAAUAAAACAAAAAUUAUGUUGCCAAUUGCUUUCUUUCAUAUUUCAACCAAACCCAGUGUACUAACAAACUAACCUAACAAAUAGUCUAAUUCCAAAUUCUAAACCCAAGUAAUUCCAUCAUCAUAGUCAUACAAUUACUUCUCCUAAAGCAUGCAUUCAAUUUUGAAGAUUCGUUCCAUUUUUCAAAAAUAUUCUCACCAUAUGGUUAUGACAAGUGCCAAACCUGUGCAAUAAUAAUUAUUAAAAAGUCCUAAUUACUACCACAAUUAAUUAUAGAACAAAUCCAAGUACUGGAGCAGGGAACCUAGGUGUGCAAUGGGUUACUUGAUUCACCCUAUUCCCGAAGAGUUUGCUUGAUCCGAUAUACCAGAUUUGUCUAUAAAAAUAUUAACUUUGCGUACAAUGGCAAGUAGGGUCGAUUCCACAGGGAGCGGGUAGGAAAUUAUUCUUUCCAAAUUAGUAGAACGGAAUUGGGGGAUUUUCAAUGGGAGGCAAAUAAAAAUGAAAUAAAACAACAAAAUUCAAAACUAACUCACAAAGCACAAAUUUACUAAAAAUAGCAAUUAAUAGAAGUUCUACCCAAAGGAUCAACUGCUCAGGCACGGUCCAAUUAAAUGAUCAUUGAUGCAAAGAUAUUUCACCCAUUCAUCACUAGGUUGGUUAUAGUUGUCAACAAGGUCUGACAACCAGUUCUUCCUUACUUUCUCGACAGUCAAGGUACGACCAUUGACUGCUUCUCUAACCAGAUAACAACCCUAGGUACGACCAUAGGAAUUUAAUUACCCAAUUGCAUUAAAGGUAGAAGAACCCAACCCUAACUAAUAAACACGCUAAGAGGGUUUAUUUAAAUUAGAUCUUACGUUUCCCCAACAUAAAGCCAAUUAUGGUGGUUGUCACUAGGUAUCAACUAAACGAACAAUUACGGAUUCAAUUUAGUUAAUGUGACAGUAGGCUAUUAAAUUAAAUCAAAUACCCGGCCGUUGAUAUUUAAUUAAUAAAAUACCCAUGAACAAUUAAUUCAGGAAACGCACGAAUAGUAAUAAUUUGGAAGAAAUAAAGAAGAUUCGAUUAGAUCUCACAGACAUUGUGGAUCGCGCCUUCGCGUCGACCUUUGGGUGGAGGAGAAAGCUAGCCGCUCCUCAUCGUGUCAAUCCCGCGUGAUUUAAUUGAAUUCAUUCAAUUAAUUUCUGAAGAAUUGGAAAGGUGAAACAACGAAGGAACAGUUCUUCGUAUUUUGCGUCUACGCUCGAGCCGCCAGCACAAGGGAAAUCUCACGAAAUUUAGAAGAGUCAAAAGUGAAAAGUGAAAAGGGUCUCGAUUGUACAGAGCCCAGAUGCAAUACGAAAAAUCUCCAAUGUCUGACCGCUAGCCGAAGAAGAAACAAAAGCAAAGAAAAGUGUCUAGCCAAAAAUUGCAAAAAGUAAAACUAAAGCUAAAAGAAGUGAUCCCCCCGAAUCUUGCUUUUUCCUCCUUUUUAUAGCCGCCGUCAGUAGUAUUCCUCCCAGGAAGAGGCUUUUGCCUAAGGGGCGCUGAUCCCACGCUUCAGGUUCACGUGGACCGGGGUCCGUCUUUUCGGUAGCAUCUACCUUUUCUGGCGUGGCCACGCCCUGAGAUGAAAGGUCUUCUGGAAAUUUACCUCAAGAUAUCAUUUUUAAUGCUAACCACCUACAAUUCACACAAACAUCAAAUAUGAGUGAAAUUCCAUUUCUUAACACCAUGAAUAGCCAAAAUUAGGACAAGAUGACAAUGCAAAAUAUUCCAAAUAACUGCUCUAUCAGGUUAUAUGGAAUGGUCAAAUUCACAAUCAACUGCCUUAUGUUUGCAUAAUUUUCAACAUAGAAUGCCAUGGUUUGGUUCCAUGUAAGUGGUUUAACUCCUACUACAUGAGUCACAUUUUGGUCUUGAAGAAAAUCCUUAGGGAAGGUUUAGGCAUGGAUGGAAUUAAUCAAGUUUAAGAAAAGGAAAGGCAUCAUUAUGACUAUAGAGAUUUUCAAGAAAUUCAUUUUGCCAAAAAUCAAAAUUCUAUUUCCAAUUAAUCACCCCACAAACUUGAAACCCAAUGCCCACACCUUCUCAAAACAAAAUAAUUUAGCAUACUAUUAAAUCCCCAAACAUGUUAACAUUUUAAAUACAGAGAAGAAACUCUAUCUCCAUAACGAAACCACAACCAACAAUUGUCAAGAAUAAAAAGAAAGACAUCAUAAAAAGUUUUUUGGAUGGAUGAUAGAUAAGUUAGCAAAUUUAUCAAUUUCAAUCCCUCUUCCUCUUUUCGCCAAUGAUUGCAUUAUUUGUUCCAUUAUUAUUGUGUGUCUCUUCAUUUCCUUUUAAUUUGACCAUUUACUUCAAUCAUCAAAUCUAAUCUCUCAACUAAACUUGUGAUUUGACAUUUUUAAAGAGAAGAAAAGAGGAAUAGAAAUAUAUAAUAGAGUUUGAGGGAUCACUUGUGGUAUGAUUGGCUGCAAUUAUAGGCAAUGGUUGGUGGUAAUUUGAGAGCGAAUUAUUGGAAGAAAGGGUUGAUGGAUGAAAAUAGAAUGAUAAUAAGCGAGAGAAUCGUCGUUAGCUGUAACUUGUAAACAGGAUAGCAAAAAAGGUUAAGUUUCUUUUUCUUUUUUUUUUUUAAAUCUCAUUUCAUUAUACUAUGAAUUAUUUAUUAAGUGAAGGUCAUUAUAGUCAUAUUAUUGAGACAAGGGAGGUUAGUGUAAUUUGUAAAAAAACGAGAGGAGCCGAGUGAAAUUGUCAUAAACCUCAAGGGAGGUUUGUGAAAUUAUCCCUAACCUAUAACCAAAUUUAAAAUUCGAACUCUAAAUAUGUAGCAUGCAUUUGCCUUUACUAGUUAAAAGAGAAAAAGGGAUUUCACACUUAAGAAAUUAUUGAAACAUAAAUGAUGCAAACUUUCUUUUAAAAUAAUUUUUUAAUAUAAAUGUGCGAGUUUUUAUCAAUCUCUAGUUUGCCAAAUAAACAUAGAAUGAUUUUCAAUACGAAUUUAUUAUAUCACCUAUUAGUUUUAAUUCACUAAACUCAACCGCAAAAAAGAAAAAACAUAAACAGCAAUUUUCGAAAUGUGGAACCUAUAUUCAGCGGGCUACUAUUUUGGUGCUUAUGACCCCAUAAGUCGAUUGCUGCGAUUUUUUGCUUCCUCCUAGGAAGCCCCAAAAGAAGAAAAAAAAAAUGAGUUUCCCGGUUGCUCAUCAAUUGAGGAAAACGCUGGUGAUUCCUUUUUUUUUUUUUUUUUUUUUUUUUUUUUUUUUUUGAGGAAAAGGCUGGUGAUUCCUUAUUGCUUCCUGGAUUUUUAACCUAAAGUGUAUAAUAGCUUGAGAAAACGUUGUACUAUUAAAAGAAAUUCUGGACCACAUCAAGUACCCCAUAGUAUCCAAGUAAACAGCGAGUUGAUACGUGCAAGGAGGCAGGGGCGGUGGCUGUUGGGUUGGAGUGGAGUGGACAUUUGCGUUGGGUUAGUGGGCUUAAGUUGUUUACAGAAUGGUUGGUAAAAAAAAAAACUAUGGUUGGGUUUACAGAUGGUUGAUGAUAGUGUUAUACCCAGUAUUCCUGGUACGCAUUCAGAAUCUGCUUCUAAGAGUAGAACUGAUAAUUUGAGUAAUCUUGACCUUUCUUGAUAUGUGAACCAAGGAAUGCCUCUGCCUGGAUGUAUUGUUCACCAAGAAACCUAGUCUCAUGUUUCUGGCAGAUUGGAUGAUCAAAAUGGUUCUUGCAAAUAUACUUUUGGAAGAAAUUGGUGGCCACCUUCUGGUUCGUUUGCCGCCAACCAUCCAGUUUGACCUGCUUAUGGAAGAAGUUGGAGGCCAUGAUAAUUGAAUGCAGGAUCUGUAAACUGCUGUAAUGUAUAUAUUGCUCCUCAUAGUCGAAAUAGUGAUGCCUGCCUGCUGACAAAUUGACCAUAUUAGCUUUUGGAAUUUGAAUCUUGCGAGUCUGGAUUCUUUUCUGGUUGCUUGCAAGCUUCUUAACAUACAUUGCAGGAUUAUACUUCUUGUACAUGUAAAAAUUUUCAGGAGGUGCGAAAAAAGGCACUCGAGUUAUAAUUCUAUUUUAUAACAAAAAAUGCAAAAAUAAAUAAACAAUUAUUAUGUAGUUAGCCAAUUUGGCUUUUCUUUUCUUAGCUAGCUAUGUGUUCCAAAGCAAACAUUCUGGUAUAAAAAGCUAUAUGUGCAAGUAUUGCGCAUGAAUGGAAAUAUAGAAACAUAUUAGUAGAGGGCUAAUAGAAAGUUAAGUUAUGGUAUAGAUGUUAUGCACUUAUUAGGUUAGAUCCCAUCUCCCUUUAAUUUUUUUAUUAUUAGAAAAUGAUAAACAGUAUUAGCAGAUGUAGUUUUGUAAGUUCCAUAGAAAACCUUAGGGCUUCACACUGUUAUAAUUUUGUUAAAUUUUUGGACAAUUUUGCUCUCCCUUUACUCCCAUGACGGUGAAGUUUUACAAUUUUUCUUCCUAUCCAUCCCUUCACCCAUGAUCCGAUAUCACUACUCCAAAACCCAAACAUCCAAUACCAAUGCGAAUGCUUCACACUUUGGUAAAACUCUGGCAAAGGUAUCAGAGUUUCCAAACUUUGAACUCGAGCCAGGUGGUUUCAAUUGCUUCCUCAUUUCUGGCUUGAGAUUAGAUGAUCAAGCUAUACACAGUACACACCAAUUCUUAAAGAGCUUGGUACUCGAAGAAAUUCCGGAGAAGUUGAGAAGCAGAAACCAACCAUGAUAGUAAAGUGGGCAAGGGAAAGCCAUGCACACAUGCCCAUUGAUUGUCGACAAACCCUUAGUCAUCAUUUGGUUUUGAUUAGACAAAUAUGAACUCAGCAUUUGUUUCAUGUAAUGAUAGCCAUAAAGGAAUCUUGAAGGCUAGAAAGAUUUCUCGUGACUCUCUCAAAAGAAAGAAAGUUCUGAUGCUUCUUUUCUUUUUGGUCGUAACUUAGGUCAUUCUUGCUUUUAGUCUCCUAAACUGGCAAGCUAAGCCUUAAAUGCUAAAAUUUAUAACUAAUUCUUGUUUUAAAAUCUGCCCUUAGAAUUUAUUUACUCGAUCUUGGGAGGGGCUAAACUCUACAUCCUCCAUCUUAAGUCCGUAUUUGGAACAAUUUCUAAUAUUAAUGCUACAAAUUAUCUUUACUAACAGUACAAGCCAUUAAUGCAUUAAAGAGUACGUGAAUUUAGACUGUAGAGCCGUAGAAGUAUAGAUUUAGAUUUGAGAAGCACAAAGAGAAUAAUAAAUUAGAUUUGAGAAGCAUACGAGGAUGCUGGAGUUUGUUUUUAAACUAAAGUUUAGGAAAAAAAAAUGAAAGAAGAGGACAUGAAACAAAGUUGUUAGAUAUUAAGGGGAAGUUAAGUUUCCUCGGUGGGAAGAAAUUGUUAGAUAAAAGAUAUUUAAUAUUUUUUGUAAUGCCAGAAAGAAGAUGCCAUUUUUGCCUGUCGAACAAACAUCAUGUUAUUGGAGUAGAAAGAGACACUUUUAAACCAAAAUAUUACUGCUAAUUUUCUCCCAUUUCACGGUUCUCAAACAACAGAUAGGAAAGUUCUAAUAUUUCCUCUUUUCUUUUUUAUGGUAACUUAGGUCAUUCUUCCUUCUUUCGUUUUUAAUAACCUAAACUCACAAGCUAACCCUUAUCUGCUAAAAUUUACAAUUAAUUAUUUUGGAUAAAUUACAUUUUACCCCCUAUGAUUUAGCAUUUUUUACAUAACCCCCUAUGAUUUUAAAAAUUAUACAUAACCCCCUCAAGGUUUGGAUUGAAGUGUCAAAGUGACGGAAAUAGUCAUUCGUAACGGAACUUCUAAAAAUAUCGAAAUUACCCUUAUAAAUACAUGACACACUAACCCCCUCAUGGUUUAAUACUUUAUCAUAUAACUCCCUUAUAGUUUAAUACUUUACCAUAUAACCUCCUUAUAGUUUUUAAAAUAUACAUAUAACCCCCCUUGGUUAAUAAAUAAUUUUCAACUUUACAUAAGGAUAUUUUAGAUAUUUUAGAUUACUCCGUUACGAAUGAUCAUUUCCGUCACUUUGACACUUUAAUCCAAACCAUGAGGGGGUUAUGUAUAACUUUUGAAACAAUAGGAGGGUUAUGUAAAAAAAGCUAAACCACGUACAGGGGGUAAAAGUGGAAUUUGCCCAAUUAUUUUUUAAAAGCUGUGCUUAAUAUAUAUACUCCUUAGAAUGGAGAACCAUAAGAGGAUAAUGGAGUAUGUUUUUAAAUUGAAAAAGAAAAGGUUACGAGUAGUUUCCUUUUAAUUGUACCACAUUUGUUGAUUUUUGGCAAACCAUAUCAAUUCAUCAGUUGAAAUUCAAUUAGUAAAAUUCUCUGCUUGUUAAAAGUUCAAAGUAGUAAUGGAAGAUUUCUUGUAUGUAUAGUUUUUUCCCCUCUUGUUGAAGAUUGUCUAUAAUUCUUUUGCUUUAUAUAUAAGAACAGUCACUACAGUUAAUGGCAUUGAUAAGAACAACGUACACUUCAAGUUUGAAGACGGACCUUGACUCUCAAAAGUGGAAUCAACUAAUCCAGACUGCAUUGCGAGUCUUCAAGUUUGAGGGCCAGUGUGUUUAAUGGCAUUUCUAAGAAAUUCCACACAACAAUUCUAGUGGAAAACGGAUCUUUGGCUCUCAAAAGCGGAAUCAGAUCAAUUCCAAGUGCUCUCGUUUAACUCUCCAUAUGUAGUCUUUAAAUCCAGACUAUCUACGGGACUUGAGGCUUUCUGUUCCCUCAGGUAUUGUAAGGCUUGUAGUAUCGGUAAGGUUUUGAUCAUGGUUUGUAGGUUAACCAUGAGUUUAACUUGAAGCCAUGAUACCAAAAGAGAUUGUAGAAUCUCUCACAAUUAUAUCAGCAUAAGUUUACAAUGUGUUAUAGAUUUUCAGAAUAACUAAAUGUCUACAAUGAGUAGACCACUUUAUUCGAUGUUAAAACAAUUUAAAGAGGAAUUAUCUACAAUUUGUUUUUAAUUGCAAUAAUUAAAAGGUCAUCUAAUGGUAUAAACUAACAUAAUGAUUAAAACUAUGCAUAAAAAUUGUAUAAAAGUGCACAAUAAUAAAAAUUAUGCAUUGAGGGCUAGAUGUAUGGUUUCAUAUACGCAAUAGGCAAAUAAUGUAUACACAAUUUAACUAUCAAAUGAACGUUUAGUUAACUUGUAAUUCAUAAGGUUAAGAAAAGUUUAAUGUUAAGUGCAUAAGAUUUGUUAGAAACAAAAUAAAAAUAGCAUUGUGUAACAUAUUUUAUUUUAAUGCUGCAUUGGUGAUAACUGUAUAAAAUUUUAUACUCAAAUGUAUGCAUUCCAAAAGUGUCAAUUUUACAAUUCUUAGUAUAUAAUUAUGUUUUGAUCCACAGUAUUAUUAAAAAGUCUUUCAACACAAUAGAUGUAGUCCCGUUAAAAACGCGGGUUAAGAACUAGCUUAAAUAAAAGUUAAACCAUACAAGAGUAUUUCAUUUGAUAGGUUGGCUAGCCAGUGUCUAAGGGUACGCGUUAUUGAUUAAAAGGGUGUCUCAGCUGUUAAUAUGUUGACAAAAGUAAGUGACUGUGCAUUCAUCUUGUAAAUGCGAUUUAAAUGUUUUAACGAGUUUCGCCAUUCAUUAAAAAUCCUUAAUACAGUCAUCCUUGAGAGUGCAGCUCCCUUUAAAUUAAGAAAAGGAAGAACAAGACCUGGUCAAGAAACAAAAAAGUCUUCCACGUGUUUAAGCCCCGCAGAAAAGUCUUCUAAGAAAUUUUGCACAACAAUUGCAGUGAGCUUGACUCUCAAAUGUGAAAGCAAAUCAAGGCCAGAAAGACCGCGUUACAAGCCUUCCUUGGUCGCCCUAAGACGCAGACAGGAAAGACCUUGACUUUGGGCCAAAAUCUACCAGUUUAGUCGAAGUUGAAUUUAGUAUCUAUACCAGUUAAACGAAUAACCGUGUAAUUAAAUUGUCUAAAUUUUGUCAAGAAAAGAAUUAUUGACAAAAUAUCAAGAAAAGAAUUGCAUUUCGUGUUGCACAUUUUAAUUAAUUAUACUAACAAACAUUUAACUGUACACUUGUUGCCUUAGGUAUGCUAAAUCAUUACAGUUUAAACUCAAAUUAGUGUCUUAAUUAGUGUUCACAUGUACGCAAAUGCCAUGAACAAAGAUAUUUCAUGAAUUUGAUUGCCCAUAGAAGGCAAAAGAGAUUGAAAAAAAAAAAGGUUGCAUACCGGUAUUGAAUUACUGGCAUCAAAAUGUACUUUUAAGACCUGAAUAUUGCUCCCUUUCUGAGAUACAAUUAGAUACAAUUUGAUUUUUUUUAGAAAUCUGUCCUUAGAAUUUAUAAUUUACUCUUUAGCACAAAGAGCAAUAAUUAGAUUCGACAACCAUGUGAAGAUGAUGGAGUCUGUUUUUAAAAUUUUUUUUUUCAAAAAAAAAAAAAAAGGUUGUGACAGGUUGUCGAAGCCUGUGCAAUAAUAAAACCUGCUCAAACUAAAAGUGAUUUCUGUAGAUAGCGGUGAGCAGGGUCGAAUCCACAGGGACUGGGAGUAAUUAUUUCUUUUCAAGUUCACAGUGACAAGGGGGGUGUUUUUGUGCAGAAGGUGACAAUCAAAGAAAUUCAAAUAAAAUCUAAGAAACUACUAAAAAUUAAAUAACAAAUUACUAAAAUCUAAUGAGUGAUAAUUAAGGAUCUAGCCAAGGAAAAACUUCAGCAAUGGUUCACCUAAUUGAUCAUCGAUGCAAAGCCAAUUCCAAUUAUUUAUCAAUAAAUAGGUUAUAACUACUAAACAAGCGAUGGCAGCCAACCCCUCCUUACUGUGUCGGUGAUCAAGGUACGCCCGUUAAUCACUGCUCUAAUUGAGAAAUAAUCCUAGGUACGCCCGUAGAAUUUAAUUCCCCAAUUGCCUUACGUAUUAGAGGAGCCCUAUUCUAACCAAAUAACGCACUACCAGGGUUAUUUUAGAUUAGCCCGCGUAUUCCCCUGACACAAACCUAAUCAUGCCAGUUGUCACUAUUUUAGAGCAAUUAAACAAUUACGGAUUUAAUGCCCUAAUUGACAAUAGAUUAUCCAAUCAACUAAUUAUCUGGAUCCAAGACAAUUAAUUAAUUAAAUAAUCAUAAGCAUAGCAAUCAAGAAAUAUGCGAAUACCAAUAAAUAAAAGAAAAAGAUAAAAUUAGAUCGAUCUCACAAUUUUAGAUGACCCAAAGCAUCCGUUGUCCCUUGACUAGACAAAGGGAAUUAGUUCAUUUUCCGUGAACAAAUCCCACAGGAAAGUGAAGAAACGAUCCCAACCAUUAUUCUUGUUCACGAGACUUCACCUUGACCGACUGAAUAAAGAAAAGCUUGGAAAACAAUGAUUGAUUCAAUUCUUCAAAGAGUCCCUGUCAUGCGUGGACUGAAGCUUCCUAAGAGACAAAAGAAAGGUCAAAGCUCUCUAAGAAAGCUCCUCACCUACGUGAACUGGAGCUAAAGCUAAACACUAGUCUAACUACUACGCUACAGGACGAAAAGAGAAAAAGGUAAUGCCCUCUCUCUGCAAUUACAAUUUGCCUGUUCUAAUCCUUCGCUCUCCUGUGCGGCGGCUCCCCUUCCGGAGAGGAAGAAGAAGACCCCUGACUUCAGCCCUUCGUUCCUCUUUUUAAUGCUUUUGUCUUCGGCAAUUACUAAAAUGGGCACAAGUUUGCCUUUGCCAACAAUGCCCCUGGGAUAAGCUCUGUGCCUUAGACUUCUUUUCUAUCAAAUUGGCACUUGUUAUCAUAUUUUCGUUCUACUCCCUGAAAUAUAUGCCAAACACUAAAAAUGAGUAGAAUCCAGCAAUUAAUCCACAUCGGGUCAGGUAAUAGGGAAAAUUAAUAAUAAAAUAAAUGAUAAAAUUACACCCUAUCAGGUUGCGAAUAAUUUCUUUCCGAUUGAACCGCUUUUGGCAAAGGUUACCAAAUCUAGCUCUGAUUUUUUCUCAAAAGUGGAAUCAACUCAGGACCACAAAUGCUGCUGACUGCUCUGCAUUAAUUGCGAGUCUUCCAAAUUAAAAUGCUUUUAACAAUCCGUGUGAAUGAUGCAGAUUGGAAAGAUACUAUUUUAAGCGCGAGUUUUUCAAUCCUGACUACUUACUCAAGGCGGGCGCUUACAUUUCAUCUAUCUUAUCUUAAUUACCCUCUUUCAUGGUCAAUUACGGUCCCACUACUUAAAUUAUUUUUUAUUUAGGAGUCCAAUUCUAUCUGUCUUAUCUUAAUUACGGUCUUUCAUGGUUAAUUACGGUCCCACUACUUAAAUUGUUUUUUAUUUAGUAGAAUCGUAUACCUGUUAGGAGUCCAAUUCUAUCUUACAUUUCAUCUAUCUUAUCUUAGUUACGUUCUUUCAUGGUAAUAGAGCAUCGAUGGAUGUUGUAUGCAGCGGAGUUGUUCUUCUCAUGAUACUGGCUAUUGCACCAGUUGCAGUAGCAGCAGCAAAGGAGUCUGCCGUGAAUUUAUUGGAAGCUGAAGCAUUGCUCAAGAGUGGCUGGUGGCGAGGCAGUACUACUGCAACAAACGUCUCUGCCCAUUGCCAUUGGAAUGGUAUCGUUUGCAACGAUGCUGGUAGCGUUACCGAAAUACUACUUCCGGGCAGCGGAAUUUACGAUGAGUUGACAAAUUUCAGCUUCUCUUCUUUUCCGAACCUGGUUAGACUAGAUCUCAGCGAGAAUAAACUUCACGGCGCCAUCCCACAUCAAAUAGGUGCACUCUCCAAACUCACCCAUCUCAAUUUGUCUUUCAACAGAUUUGAAGGUGAGCUUCCCGUCUUCUCUAGUAAACCUUACGCAACUAGCACAGCUCGAUGUUUCUUGGAAUUCGAUUGACAGCUUAAUUCCUCCGGGUAUCGGAAACUUGACAAACUUGGUUGCUCUAGACUUGAGCCACGAUUUUUUUUUUGGUCCAAUCCCUCCAACUCUUGGCCACUUGUCCAAAUUAGCCUCUCUCGAUCUCAGUGGCAAUGGACUUAAGGAAGACAUCCCACAUCAAAUAGGUACACUUUUCAAACUCACCUAUCUCAAUUUGUCGAAUAAUUUUAUCGAAGGCUUUAUUCCCUCCUCCAUCGCAAACUUGACAAAUUUGGUUACUCUAGACCUGAACAACAAUUCUUUUUUUGGUCCCAUCCCAUCCAUCCUUGGCCAAUUGUCCAAUCUAGAUUUCCUGAACCUCAAUAUUAACCACUUCAGUGGGAUAAUCCCUCCAGCACUUUUUAAUUUGACAAAGCUUUCCCGGCUAUACAUUGGCAGGAAUCCCGCAAUAAGGGGAGUUCUCCUUGAAGAAAUAGGAAAUUUGAAGAUUUUACUUGAAUUAGACUUGAGUUACAAUGGUUUUUCUGGCAACAUCCCUCCAACCCUUGGCCAAUUAUCCAAUCUAGCCUCCAUUAACCUCAACAAUAACCACUUCAGUGGGACAAUUCCUUCAGCUCUUUUUAAUCUGACAAAUCUUUCCCGACUAGACAUUCACUCUAAUCCUGCAAUGGGAGGAUUUCUCUCAGAAGAAAUAGGAAAUUUGAAGAGUUUAGUUAAAUUAAACUUCAGUGGCCUUAAUCUUUCAGGUGCCUUUACUUCAGCUCUUUGUCGCCUAACCAAACUAGUAUCUCUUUCAGGUGCUGAGAAUCAAAUUCAUGGUUCCAUUCCCUCUGAAAUAGGAAAUUUGAAAAAUUUGAAAUAUCUUUUCUUCGAGUCCAACCAGCUGACUGGUCAAAUCCCUCCGACCCUUGGCAGUCUGACUACUCUGAUUUAUUUGGACCUCUCUUCUAACCAAAUAAGUGGUUCCAUACCUCUUCAACUUUCCGUUAUACCUUCUCUAAAAUUUUUAGAUCUUUCCUCAAACCAACUUAGAGGUCCGAUUCCAUUUACAUUAAAUUUGGACACCUGGUCUAGAUUGAAGCAUUUAUAUCUACAAAACAACUCUUUGAGUGAUAUUUUUCCAUGGAAAAUUCUAGAUCUCCCUUUGUUACAGACAGUGGACUUAAGUCGUAACCGCAUUAGCGGAAAGAUACCAACCCAAUCGGAGUGGUACUUUUCGACUUUGGAUCUUUCCCACAAUAUUCUCUCUGGCACUGUCCCCUCGUCUCUUAUGCGACUGGGGGAAGUCGACCUGUCCUAUAAUGCUUUGGAAGGUGAACUUCCGUGUGAGCUUGUCAUUCAGUUUGGUUCAGAAAGAUUUGUCGGCAAUCCAGGCUUGCGUUACACUUCCACUCUUUGUGGUGUAUCUCCUCCUGUUAUGAAAAAUCACAGACAUCACCCCCCAUACUACAUCAUAGGUCUUGGCGUGUCCUUGUUGGUGUUCUCAUUAAUUGGCGGAUUAGUGCUUUUUAUCUUCUGCAAAACCAAAGUCAAGAAAGUGGAAGUUGAGCUGAUGGACAAUAAACAUGGAGACAUUUUCAGAAUAUGGAACUACGAUGGACAUAUGGCUUAUGAAGACAUAAUUAAAGCAACAAACGAUUUUGAUGUCUGUUAUUGCAUCGGGACAGGGGGGUAUGGUUCUGUAUACAGAGCGCGGUUGCCAAGUGGGAAAGUAGUGGCUUUGAAAAAGCUUCACCGUUUGGAAGGCGAGAAUCCAAAUUUUGACAAGAGCUUUAGGAACGAAGCCGACAUGCUAUCUAAAAUCAGGCACAGGAACAUUGUAACGCUCUUCGGAUUCUGCCUGCACAAGCGAUGCAUGUUUCUGAUUUAUGAGUAUAUGGACAGAGGAAGCUUGUUUUGUAUCUUGAGAGAUGAAACCGAAGCUGUGGAGCUGGAUUGGAUUAAAAGAGUGAAUUUGAUCAAGGGCAUUGCCAGUGCAUUGUCCUACUUGCAUCAUGAUUGUGAUCCGCCAGUCAUUCACAGGGAUGUAUCAAGCAACAACAUUCUUUUGAAUUCACAGCUCGAAGCAACUCUUUCUGACUUCGGAACCGCGAGGAUUUUGGAACUUGAUUCAUCAAAUCAAACAGUCAUUGCAGGCACCUUUGGCUACAUGGCACCAGGUAGGUUGCCUUGCUAUCCCAGAUCCCUUUCUGCUUUUCACCUUGUUUUUCAUAUUUUCUUGAUGCACAUAUUAGGCUUAACUUUCAAGGACAGAAAAGAAAAAAAUUCUUCCAACUGAAACGAUUAAUUUUUUUUUUUCGAAUAGUAAGUCUAGAGUUGUCCCAUUUGAGAUUAACUUUAUUUGUAUCCAAAUAUAUACAUACUUGUCAAUGCAGAGCUAGCCUAUACCAUGGUGGUCACUGAAAAGUCCGAUGUGUAUAGCUUUGGAGUUGUGGUGCUGGAAACGCUGUUUGGAGAGCAUCCACAAGAUUUCCUUUCUUGCAUAUCAUCACAACCCAAUGAACCAAUAAUGCUGAAGGAUCUUCUUGAUGCCCGUCUGCCCCCUCCGACUAACCCUUUGGUGGUUCGAAAUGUGGUUCUCGCGACAGCGUUAGCCCUGGAUUGCGUUAACGCAAACCCGAAAUGUCGACCAACAAUGCAGCAAGUGGUGAACCGAUUUGAAGUGGGCAGGCGAGAAUCAACUAGGCCUUUGCACACCAUUGCUGUGAAUCAGCUUGUUAGUCCACCAGUACUUUCACUGCCUGACCAAACCUGCGCAGAUGGGAGGAGUAGCUUAAGCACCAUAAAUGAAUUCCACGUGGAUAUCUCUGCGACUCUGCCAUCAUCCAAUUUUUCUAUCCAUGUUUCUACCUAAACAACUUUGAUAUCUGGUAGGAAACAGAAUAAGAUUUUUGACAAUUGCAGAGACCUCCCUUCAAGUUUAUUAAAUUACACCUACCUCCCUUGCUUUUAGUAUUUAUAUAACAAUAUAGGCCCAAAAGGCUAUAUUUUUUUUUCAAAAAUCCUAAACUACCCUUUUUGUACAAAAAUAUAACAAAAAUUAUUUUGCCAAUUGCUUUCUUUCAUAUUUCAACCAAACCCACCGUACUAACAAACUAACCUAACAAAUAGUCUAAUUCCAAAUUCUAAACCCAAGUAAUUCCAUCAUCAUGUUAUAAAAUUGCUUCUCCCAAAGCAUUCAUUCAAUUUUGAAGAUUCGUUCCAUUCUUCAAAAAUAUUCUCACCAUAUGGUUACAUGGAACGGUCAAACUCACAAUCAAUUGUUCUUAUGUUUGCAUAAUCUUGAACAUAGGAUGCCAUGGUUUGGUUCCAUAUAAGUGGUUUAACUCCUACUACAUAAGCCACAUUGUGGUCUUGAAGAAAAUCCUUAGGGAAGAUUUAGGUAUGGAUGGAAUUAAUCAAGUUUAAGAAAAGGAAAGGCAUCAUUAUGAUUAUAGAGAUCUUCAAAAAAUUCAUUUUGCCAAAAAUCAAAAUUCUAUUUACAAUUAAUCACACCCCAAACUUCAAACCCAAUGCCUACACUUUCUCAAAACAAAAUAAUCUAGCCUACUAUUAAAUCUCCAAACAUGUUAACGUUUUAAAUACAGAGAAGAAACUCUAUCUUCAUAACGAAACCACAACCAACAAUUGUCAAGUAUAAAAAGAAAUAUAAAUGUACUUAUUGAUAUCUUAAAAAGUUUUUUGGAUGGAUGAUGGACAAAUUAGCAAAUUUAUCAAUUUCAAAUGCUCUUCCUCUUUUGGCUAAUGAUUGCAUUAUCUGUUCCAUUAUUAUUGCGUGUCCCUUCAUUUCCUUUUAAUUUGACCAUGAAAUCGGAUUUUACUUCAAUCAUCAAAUCUAAUCUCUUAAAUAAACUUGUGAUUUGACAAUUUCAAAGAGAAGAAAAGAGGAAUAGAAAUAUAUAGUAGGGUGUGAUUGGCUGCAAUUAUAGGCAAUGGUUGGUGGUAAUUUGAGAGCGAAUUAUAGGAAGAAAGGGUUGAUGGAUGAAAACAAAAUGAUAAUAAGCGAGAGAAUCGUCGUUAGCUGUAACUUGUAAAUAGGAUAGCAAAAAAGGUUAAGUUUCUUUUUCUUUUUUUUAAAAAUCUCAUUUCAUUAUACUAUGAAUUAUUUAUUAAGUGAAGGUCAUUAUAGUCAUAUUAUUGUGACAAGAGAGGUUAGUGUAAUUUGUAAAACUUGAGGUGAGCCAAGUGGAAUUGUCAUAACCUCAAGGGAGGUUUGUGAAAUUAUCCCUAAACUAUAACCAAAUUUAAAAUUUGAACUCUAAAUAUGUAGCAUGCAUUUGCCUUUACUAGUUAAAAGAGAAAAAGGAAUUUCACACGUAAGAAAUUAUUGAAACAUAAAUGGUGCAAAUUUUCUUUUUUUAAAAAAAUUUUAAUAUAAAUGUACGAGUUUUUAUCAAUCUCUAGUUUGCCAUAUAAACAUAGAAUGAUUUUCAAUAUGAAUUUAUUAUAUCACCUAUUAUUUUAAUUCAUUAAACUCAACCACAGAAAAGAAAAAACUCGAACAUCAAGUUUCGAAAUGUGGAACCUAUAUUCAGCGGGCUACUAUUUUGGUGCUUAUGCCCCCAUAAGUCGAUUGCUGCGACUUUUUCUUCCUCCUAGGAUGGCCCAAAAGAAAGAAAAAAAGAAAAAAGAGUUUCCCGGUUGCUCAUCAAUUGAGGAAAACGCUGGUGAUUCCUUAUUGCUUCCUGGAUUUUUAACCUAAAGUGUAUAAUAGCUUAAGAAAACGUUGUACUAUUAAAAGAAAUUCUGGACCCAUAGUAUCCAAGUAAACAGCCAGUUGAUACGUGCAAGGAGGCUGUUGGGUUGGAGUGGAGUGGACAUUUGCGUUGGGUUAGUGGGCUUAAGUUGUUUACAGAAUGGUUGGUAAAAAAAAAUUAUGGUUGGGUUUACAGAUGGUUGAUGAUAGUGUUAUACCCAGUAUUCCUGGUACGCAUUCAGAAUCUGCUUCUAAGAGUAGAACUGAUAAUUUGAGUGAUCUUGACCUUUCUUGAUAUGUGAACCAAGGAAUGCCUCUGCCUGGAUGUAUUGUUCACCAAGAAACCUAGUCUCAUGUUUCGGGGAGAUUGGAUGAUCAAAAUGGUUCUUGCAAAUAUACUUUUGGGAGAAAUUGGUGGCCACCUUCUGGUUCAUUUGCCGCCAACCAUCCAGUUUGACCUGCUUAUGGAAGAAGUUGGAGGCCAUGAUAAUUGAAUGCAGGAUCUGUAAACUGCUGUAAUGUAUAUACUGCUCCUCAUAGUCGAAAUAGUGAUGCCUCCCUGCUGACAAAUUGACCAUCUUAAUUCUUUUCUGGUUGCUUGCAAGCUUCUUAACAUACAUUGUAGGAUAUAUUAUACUUCUUGUACAUGUAAAAAUUUUCAGGAGGUGCAAAAAAAGACACUUGGUUUAUAAUUCUAUUUUAUAACAAAAAAAUGCAAAAAUAAAUAAACAAUUAUUAUGUAGCUAGCUAGCUAAUUUGGCUUUUCUUUUCUUAGCUAACUAUAUGUUCCAAAGCAAACAUUCUGGUAUAAAAAGCUAUACAUGCAAGUAUUGUGCAUGAACAGAUAUAUAGAAGAAUAUUAGUAGAGGGCUAAUAGAAAGUUAUGCUAUAGAUGUUAUGCACAUAUUAGGUUAGAUCCCAUCUCCCUUUAAUUUUUUAUUAUUAGAAAAUGAUAAACAGUAUUAGCAGAAAUAGUUUUGUAAGUUCCAUAGAAAACCUUAGGGCUCCAUACUGUUAUAAUUUUGUUAAAUUUUUGGACAAUUUUGCUCUCCCUUUACUCCCAUGGCGGUGAAGUUGCUAAGCCUUGGUUACAAUUUUCUUCCUAUCCAACCCUUCACCCAUGAUCCGACGUCACUACUCCAAAACCCAAGUAUCCAAUACCAAUGCGAAUGCUUCAUACUUUGGUAAAACUCUGGCAAAGGCAUCAGAGUUUCCAAACUUUGAACUCGAGCAAGGGGCUUGAGAUUACAUGAUCAAGCUAUACAUAGUACAUACCAAUUCUUUUUAAGUUGUAUAAAUGCUUAAAGAGUUUCUAACCGUCAAGGAUUCCUAUGGCUGUUGGGAAAUCUUCAGACAUUACGAUACCAAAAAUCUUUGUGAUGUUGAAUGUGGAGGAUAAUAAUUCAAACCAUCUAAUACAAGUACCAAAACCAAAAAGAUUAAUUUGGCCAAAAUAACAGAUACUAGCUCGAAGAGUCGCUGCUACAUGCAUGGAGGGAGACCAGUAGCUCGCCGGCUAGAAUAAUGGAAGUUGUAAACAAGGUCUGCUAAUCAGGAAAAAUCUCCUAUUUUGUAAUGGCACUUUUUAUGAUUGUAAUACUGACAAUAUAAGGUGAAUCCUACUGUGACAUUAGUUAUAUAUAUAUAUAUACUAACUAGUAUUGUCCGUCUAAAAAUUUUGCACUAUAAGUUUACAAUGUGUUAUAGAUUUUCAGAAUAACUAAAUGUCUACAAUGAGUGGACAACUUUAUUCAAUGUUAAAGUAAUUUAAAGAAGAUAUCUGCAAUUUGUUUUAAUUGUAAUAACUAUAAGGUCAUCAAAUGGUAUAAAAUAACAUAAUUAUUAAAACUAUGCAAAAAAAUUGUACAAAAGUGCACAAUAACUAAUUAUGCAUUUAGUAUUAGAUGCAUAUUUUCAUAUGUGCAAUAAGCAGAUAAUGUAUACACAGUUUAACUAUCAAAUGAAUGUUUAGCUAACUUGUAAUUCAUAAGGUUAAGAAAAGUUUAAUGUUAAGUGCACAAGAUUUGUUAGAAAGAAAAUAAAAAUAGCAUUGUAUAAUAUAUUUUAUUUUAAUGUUGCAUUGCAGAAAUGAUGGUGAUAACUGCAUAAAAUUUUAAAACUUUUGGGAGGCAAUUGUGGGGUUAGUGGAAAUAUUACCAAAUUUCAACGGGUGCAAAAGUGAGGCAACAAUAGAAAACCUUUUAAUAGGCUAUUCUGAAAAUUCGAUUUUGGUAGGUUGCUUGGUUGGUUUUUCCCAUAUUUUGCUAAGUAAUUCAUCUUUUCGGCACGUGGCAAAAUAAAUUAUAAAGAAAAUUGUGUUUUUUAUUUUUUUGUGGAUUUUAUUUUUGUCUUUUUUUCUUUGCAACCAAUCUAUUAAUUACUUAGCUUAUAUAAGUUUGUAUGUUUGUGCCUUCUUUAUUUUUUUUUGUCAAUCAACUCACGUUUUUUCUUUUUUAAUCCUCUUCAAGCACGUUUUCUAUUUUUAUUAUUGGUUUGAUCAUUCAUCAGUAUUAAUUUGGACAAAUUAUGCCACGUUAAUGUUGAGGUAAUAGUAUCUAUUUUCUGUCUUUACCUUCCUGUCUAAUAAUUCCUUUUUUCUUCUAAUAAUUCUUAUUCUAAUAAUAGUGUUAUUUAUUAGAUUUCCUAAAAUUAUUUCAUCAUUAGUCUUUUCUUAUCUACAACAUAUAUGUCUUACAUAUUUCAUAAGGAAGUUCUUGAUUGAUGGUCAAGUCAAGUGUUCUCCAAUUUUCUUAUCAAUCAACCAUGAAUCUCUCUUAAUGAAUUUCCUUAAUUAAUUGACCCAGAGUUAAAUAUUUACACAUUUUAACCAUCUACUUUUUCAACAUCGUAUAUAGGCAUAUCAAUGGGUUGGGUCUUACCCAAAUCCAAUCCAGACCCAAUAUAUUUGGGUAGGGUUUGGAUUUAAUUUCUCAAAUUCAGACCCUACCCAGACCCAAACCCAGACCCUAUGAGAGAAUCGUGGGUGUGGGUAAAGUCUGAUUUUCUAGAAUCCAUAUCCAAAUCCAGACCCAGACCUUACCCAGAUCCAUAUAUAUUUAAUUAAAUAAUAUAUAUUAAAAAAUUUAUAAAAUAAUAUAAUAUUUUAUGGCUAUUGGAUCAAAUACAGUAAGAUUUUAUGGCAUUCAGAAUCUGCAAUUAAUGUUGGUGGUUGGAUGAUUAAUGAGACUCGUGUCAAAUUGCUUCUAGAUGUUGUUGAAACAUUAGUGACUACUGAUGAUUGGAUUGAAUCAAAGAAAAAAUGAGUAAGUGUUUAUAAAUCUUCUUAUGCUAUUAUUUAUUUGUUAUCGGUUCCUAAUCAAAAGAUUUUUAUCUCAUUCACUAUUUUAGUGUUGGAUUGCGAGACAUCUGCCACCAUUGAGGUUUAAAUAAGCAAAAGAGGUACAAAAUUACAUUUUUUUAAUAAAAUUAAAUAUUUAUAUAUGUUAUGGUUGUUUUCUUUUUUAAAAACUAAUCCUAGUUGUCAUUGUAAUUGGCCCAGACUUUUUCAAGAAAAUGAGAAAAGGUAAAGGCAAAUAAAUGAAAUAUUGAUGUGGAUGCAGUUGAAUCUUGAAAAAUAUAUAGAAGUAGUCAAUAAUAAUUCUUUCUUUGAGUUCAAAAUAUUGCAUUCAAUUUGUUGAAUGUUAAUUUUAUUAGUUGAAAACAAAAUUUGGAUGAUAUUUCUAUUAUUUAUGAACUCUAUAUAUUUUUAAUAUAUUUUUACUUUAGUAUUUUCAAAAAAUACCCAUGGAUACCCAUUGAAUACCCAGAUCCAUAAAGGUCAGGGUAUGGAUUUACUUUUGGGUCUGGAUUUGGGUUUAGGUCUAACUAAAUUAAAUGGGUCUGGAUCUGGAUCAAAAGGAUCCAACCCAGACCCUACUCAUUGACAUGCCUAAAUUCGUAUAGCUAUGUAUAUGACAUGAUACUGAUGAUAUUGAAUAGCUGAAUAUAUAUGAUAUAUGAAUUGAUAGGUAUAAUUAUGGUAUGUUUCGUCAUUUUUCUUAACAAACUCAAAUAAUUACUUUUUCUUUUAUCCCUUUGAUAGGGUGUAAAAAUGUAGUAUAUUUAAAUGUAUAAGUUGCUAGUUAAUCAUGUGAUUUGAGCUUUAUCUUAAGUAGAAACUACUUAGUUUUGCUCUUAUCUUGUUCUAAUAGGUGAAAACUCAAUUGGAGGGAAAAUGGACUAAAAACGUGGUGCAAAGAAGCAAUGAAAGAGGAAAAAGUGAAGAGAAAGGGAUUUGGCAGGAUCGACAUAUUUCAUUAUUUUGGCGAUAACUUGAACUACACAAAUCGGAUUGAGAUGAUUCUUGAUUCAAUUUGAAGCUAAGAGAGAAUGCUAUUGGACAUUAAAGUUUGGUUCACAUGUUUUCAUAGUCAAAAAUCCAAAUUACUGAAGUAUAGUUGUGUUGUGAUACUCUUUGAUAGGGUAUUAAUUGUUAGUAAUUUUAUCGUUAAUUCUCCUCUUUAUCCUUGCCAAAUAUUGCUCUAAUUGUGACAUGUACUUAUAUUUGGUAUUUGAAUCCAAUUUCAGAAAGUGGAGCAGAAACUAUCUUGAGAAGAUUAUUGUGAAACUCUAUACAAUUGGCCCAUAUGCAUGGUGUAAACCAACGUCCAUUUCUUUCUAUGAUGAAAAGGAAUUGAAUUGCAUUUGGCUGGCCAACAUCUCAAUUAGGUGGGGACCGUGAAGACUUGACCAUUGUGUAAAGACACAUUUUUGGUUUGCUCUCUUAUUUGUGAACGUGUGCACUUGGUCAAAGGAAACCGACAAACCAUAGUUGGCUUUGCUUUUGUUUUCGGUGGAGUUGAUUAGGUAGGGAAGGAAUGUUUUCUUUUGUGAGCAUGGAGUGAAGUUUCGAAUUGGCUUGUUUUUAUGCGUGGGGAGAGCCGCACAUUGGGGGAGUCAGUUUUUCUUCUUCUCUUCCGGCUGGGAAGAGAAGUUUUUAGUUUUGGAGUUUUCUCUAAAAAUAAGCUCCGUAGGAGGAUAGAGGAGUUUUUAGUUUUCUCUCCGAGGGAUGUUCCAGAGGAGAGAAUAGGGAGUUGUUUUGGUUUGUUGAAUUCUAGUGUGCAAUUUUCUUAUUCUCUUCCGAGAGCUUUGUUAUUCACUCUCUCAAUUAUCGAAGAAAGAUGAUGUCUUUAAAUUCAAUUGAAUUGUGUGAAGAUUUUCUUAUGAGGCGUGGCUAAUUUUCUCCUCUAGUCAAGGAUCAAUGCGAAGACGCAGUCCCAAUUAUCUGUGAGAUCUAAUUAAUUUUACGUGUUCCUUAAUUUAUUAAUAUUUGCAUGUUUUCUAUUUUAAUUUCCAUGGGAUUAUUUUGUUAAUUGGAUAUCAAGGGCCCGAUGUGCAAUUUGACUUUUUAAUCUCUUGUCAAAUUAAUCAAUUAAAUCCGUAAUUGUUUAGUUGGUUAAUAUUAGUGGCAACUAGUAUUUUCACAUACUAGGAGAACAUGCAAUCUGAUUUAAAUAACCCUCGUAGCGUGUUAUUAAUUUGGGUUAGGCUUUUCUAGUUUUUAAUGCAAUUAGGAAAUUAAUUCCUACGGUCGUACCUAGGAGUAUUUCCUGGUUAGAGGUAAUCAACGGUCGUACCUUGGUUAUCAAUAAAUUAAGGAAAAGCUGGUUGUUAGAGCUUAUCGGCGACUAUAACUAGUCUAUUAAUUAAAUUAAGUGAACCUUCUUUGCAUCAAUGAUCGAAUGAAUGGACUGUGUCUGCGUAGUUGUAUCCUUGGCUAGAAUUUAUUUAUUAUUUAUUUAAUUGCUAUUUACAAUUGUAUUAAUUAAUUAUUUAUUUUUGGUUAAAUUAUUUAAUUGUUUUUUAGUUAAAUUGUUUAAUUAUUUAUUUUAUAUUUCAUUUUGAUAAAAAUCCCCCGUGUCUCGAAUUUAAAAAGAAUCGAAUUUUUUUCCAGUCCCUGUGGAUUCGACCCUGCUUACUACUAUACACAGAAAAUUUAUUUUUCUUAAGCAGGUAUUUAUUAUUGCACAGGCACGACACCUGUCAAUUUUUGGCGCCGUUGCCGGGGACUGGCGUUAAUUAUUUGUUUCUUUUUAAGUUCAUUUUUGUUCUAAUUUUCUGGUAUUUUUUUCUAGUUUAUGCCUCGUUCUUCUCGUACAGGCAAAUUAAUUUUCGACCCUGAAGUAGAGAAGACCGCGCGUAGAACGAGGAAAGAAACCAGACAACUCAGAGAAGAGCAAUACGGUAUUGCAUCUCAGGGACUUGAUCCAGAGGUUGAGCCGACAAAUUUGUCUGGUGACAAUUCGAGUGAUUCAGACCAAGAGGAAGUCACUAUGGCAAAUGCACGAACAUUAAGGGAGUUGGCUGCUCCUGAUUUAAAUCAGCAGCCAUUGUGCAUUACUUUUCCAAAUUUAAAUGAUGACACUCCCUUUGAACUAAAAUCUGGUCUAAUUCAUCUCUUGCCAUCUUUCCAUGGUCUACCAGGUGAGGAGCCCUACAAGCACUUGCAAGAAUUCGACGUCGUUUGCACCAGCAUGAAACCACCGGGAAUUACAGAAGAGCAAAUAAAGAUGAGGGCUUUCCCCUUCUCUUUGAAGGACUCUGCAAAAGACUGGCUCUACUACCUACCGCCUGGUAGUAUCACCACGUGGGACCAAUUGAAGAAAAAAUUUCUGGACAAGUACUUUCCGGCGUCUCGAGCUGCGAGCCUAAGGAAAGAGAUAUGUGGUAUCAAACAACACCCUAGCGAGUCUCUCUAUGAGUACUGGGAGAGAUUUAAGAAACUGUGCACCAAAUGCCCUCAGUAUCAGAUAAGUGAGCAACUGCUCAUUCAAUAUUUCUAUGAGGGGUUGCUUUUCAGGGACAGAAACAUAAUCGAUGCUGCAAGUGGAGGGGCGUUGGUGAACAAAACCCCUCGAGGAGCAUGGGAGUUGAUUGAAGGGAUGGCUGAGAAGUCACAGCAGUUUGGUUCAAGAGAGGACAUCCCGACGCGUAGGGUGAAUGAGGUGGAAACGUCCUCUAUCCAACAGCAAAUCUCCGAAUUAACAUCUUUCGUAAGACAAUUAGCUGUGGGGAGUACUUCACAAGCCAAAGUGUGUGGGGUAUGCACUGCCGUGGGUCAUCCUACGGAAAUGUGUCCAUUGGUUCAAGAAGAAACUGCAGAACAGGUGAACAUGGCUGGCCACGCGCCCGCGCCAAGAAAGCAGUACGAUCCGUACUCAAGCACCUACAAUCCUGGUUGGAGGGAUCACCCCAACCUUAGCUAUGGAGGAAAUAGGCAGUCUAAUUUUGUACCAAAUAGACCACAAGGGCACCAACAGCAAUAUCAUCCUCGCCCACCACCACUACCACCCCCUUCAAAUUCAAGUCCGUCCAUGGAAGAGAUGAUGAAGCAAUUACUUGCUAAUCAACAAAAGACGGAUUCAGACCUGCAAAGCAUGAGAAAUCAACUGGGACAGGUGCAAUCAUUGCAAAAUCAAAUGAAUCAAAUGGCUAUAACAAUCAACCGUUUGGAGUCCCAAGUUCAAGGAAAGUUACCAUCUCAGUCUGAGGCAAAUCCAAAGAAUGUAAGCGCAAUGACCUUAAGGAGUGGCAAGGAAGUUCAAGGACCCGAACCGGUGAUUUCUAAAGACAAGGACGAGCAACGGAUUGAGAAAGAAUUGGAAGAGGAGGGCAGAGACAACAAAAAUGCAAAGGUACCCUCGAACCCAAUUCCUACAGCUAAAACUAAUCCACCUCCCUUUCCUAGCAGGUUAGAGAAACCAAAGAAGCAAGACAAGGAAAAAGAGAUCUUGGAGAUCUUUUGCAAGGUGGAGAUCAACAUACCCCUGCUGGAUGCGAUUAAACAAGUACCUAGGUACGCAAAAUUUUUAAGGGACCUGUGUGCCAACCGCAAGCGGUUGAAGGGGGAUGAACGAGUUAUAGUUGGGGAGAAUGUUUCAGCAAUUCUACAAAGAAGGCUUCCACCGAAAUGCGGAGAUCCAGGUAUGUUUACUAUUCCUUGUAGGAUAGGUAAUACUUUGAUUGGAAAGGCCAUGUUAGACCUAAGAGCCUCGAUUAAUGUCAUGCCAAAGUCCAUUUAUGCUUCAUUGAACUUAGGCCCUUUGAAAGAGACUGGAAUAAUAAUCCAAUUAGCUGACAGGACCAAUGCAUACCCUGACGGGUUGAUUGAAGAUGUUUUGGUAAAAAUUAAUGAAUUGAUUUUUCCAGCUGAUUUUUAUGUGCUCGACAUGGAGGAUGAACACUCCCGUGAUCCGUCACCUUUGUUGUUAGGUAGACCCUUUUUUAGCACAGCCCGAACCAAAAUUGAUGUUAAUAAGGGUACUUUGUCUAUGAAAUUUGAUGGUGAGAUUGUUCAUUUUAACAUCUUUGAGACCAUGAAAUAUCCAUCCGAUUCAAAUAUUGGCUCUGUUUUCUCGGUAAAUGUUAUUGACCCUGCUAUACAGGAGUUUUUUGAAAUUGAAGGCAGGGAUGAACUAGAGGUCGUCCUGACCAGGCACUUUGAGUCCGAAACGACCUCUAGGGUAGAGUUGAGUGAAGAGCUUAAAUGCGUGAUUGGAUCGUUGCAAACGUUACCAAUCACGAAGACAAGAUAUGAUCUUGCACCGAUUUUCAUACCCGAACCUCACCAAAGGUUACUUCCAUCUGUGGUGCAGGCACCUGUCUUGGAACUAAAACCACUGCCGAAACACCUAAAGUAUGUAUACUUAGGUGAAGGGGAGACACUUCCAGUGAUCAUUUCCGCGGGUUUAUCAAAGGUUCAAGAAGAGAAACUACUUCGAGUUCUUAGGGAACAUAAGCAGGCGAUAGGAUGGACCAUCGCCGACAUCAAGGGAAUUAGCCCCGCGGUGUGUAUGCACCGAAUUCGACUCGAGGAGAAUGCUAAACCCGUACGGCAAGCUCAACGGAGAUUAAAUCCUCUCAUGAUGGAGGUCGUAAAGAAAGAGAUUUUAAAACUGUUGGACGUUGGAAUUAUAUUUGCAAUAUCAGAUAGCCCGUGGGUAAGUCCAGUACAGGUGGUCCCGAAGAAAGCAGGGGUGACGGUAGAAUCAAACCAAGAGGGUGAGCUCGUACCAAUUCGAAAUCCCACCGGAUGGCGACAGUGUAUCGAUUACCGGAAGCUAAACGCUGUCACAAAAAAUGACCAUUUUCCCCUCCCUUUCAUUGACCAAAUGGUAGAGCGAUUAGCAUGUCGAGCUUACUACUGUUUCUUGGAUGGAUUUUCAGGUUACUUUCAAAUUGCCAUAGCACCCGAGGACCAAGAGAAUACUACUUUCACCUGCCCAUUUGGAACAUUUGCAUACCGAAGGAUGCCAUUUGGAUUGUGUAAUGCACCUGCUACCUUUCAAAGAUGCAUGGUAAGUAUCUUUUCAGAGUAUGUUGAGAAGAUUAUUGAGGUUUUCAUGGACGAUUUCAGUGUAUAUGGUGAAAGUUUUGAAAACUGUCUAGAUAAUCUGAAAUUGAUCUUAGUAAGGUGUAUAGAAACUAAUCUCGUGCUUAAUUGGGAAAAAUGUCAUUUUAUGGUUGAACACGGGAUAGUUUUGGGUCAUGUAGUAUCAUCUACAGGUAUUGAGGUUGAUAAGGCAAAAAUAGAUGUUAUAUCUACUUUACCUUACCCCGCGAGUGUGCGGGAAGUUCGUUCCUUCUUGGGUCACGCAGGUUUCUAUAGAAGGUUCAUCAAGGACUUCUCGAAAAUUGGAGCACCUUUGUUCCAACUUUUGCAAAAAGAUGUAUCCUUCGAAUUUGAUGAAACAUGUAAGGGGGCAUUCAAUAAGUUAAAGGAGUUAUUGACCACCUCACCUAUUAUCCAACCCCCUGACUGGAACCUCCCAUUCGAGAUCAUGUGUGACGCCAGCGACUAUGCAGUGGGUGCGGUAUUGGGUCAAAGAGUAGGAAAGGCAGCUCAUGCUAUCUACUACGCAUCUCGAGCCUUGAACGGAGCUCAAUUGAACUAUUCAACCACCGAAAAGGAGCUUUUAGCAGUUGUUUUUGCCUUAGAAAAAUUUCGGUCUUAUUUACUUGGUACUAAAGUUAUUAUUUUUUCUGAUCAUGCAGCUUUACGAUAUUUGUUGACCAAGAAAGAGGCAAAACCGCGAUUGAUACGGUGGAUAUUGUUGUUACAAGAGUUCAACCUGGAGAUCCGAGAUAAGAAAGGGGCAGAGAACCUGGUAGCAGAUCACUUGAGUCGAGUACAAGUCGUCGAAGAGGACCUCCCAUUGAGAGAAGCAUUCCCCGAGGAGCAUUUAUUUUCUAUUAAUUCAUCUUUGCCUUGGUAUGCAGAUAUUGUUAAUUUUCUAGUCACUGACAAAUUUCCUACAGGAUGGCCUAAGGCGAAGAGAGACAAGUUGAGGAGCGAUGCAAAGUUCUACAUUUGGGAUGAUCCUUACCUCUGGAAGCGGGGCGCCGAUCAAAUCAUCCGUAGAUGUGUAAGUGAAGUUGAAUUUCAAUCUAUUCUAGCCAAUUGUCACUCUUUUGCAUGUGGAGGUCACUUUGGACCAAAGAGAACGGCUCGUAAGGUGCUAGAGAGUGGAUUCUAUUGGCCAACCCUAUUCAAGGACGCCUACUCAUUUUGUAAGUCCUGUGAUAAGUGUCAAAGAGUGGGUAAUAUCUCUCGUAGGGAUCAAAUGACCCAAACCCCAAUGAUUUUUGUUGAAAUUUUUGACGUUUGGGGCAUUGAUUUUAUGGGUCCUUUUCCUUCGUCCUUUGGUUUUUUGUAUAUAUUGCUUGCUGUAGAUUAUGUUUCGAAGUGGGUAGAAGCAAAGGCCACCCGCACUAAUGAUUCCAAAGUGGUUGCAGAAUUCAUUAAGUCUAAUAUUUUUGUCCGCUUUGGGAUGCCGCGAGCAAUUGUAAGUGAUCGGGGUACUCAUUUCUGCAACAAAACGAUCGCUGCAAUUUUUAGGAGAUAUGGUGUCUUGCACAAAGUCUCUACAUCCUACCAUCCUCAGACAAAUGGUCAGACGGAAGCAUCGAACCGAGAGAUCAAAUCAAUUCUAGAAAAGAUGGUCCGACCCGAUAGGAAGGAUUGGAGUGUGAGACUAGAGGAUGCACUAUGGGCAUAUAGGACGGCAUACAAGACACCUAUUGGCAUGUCCCCUUACCGAUUGGUAUUUGGAAAACCAUGUCAUCUCCCGGUAGAGUUUGAGCAUAGAGCGUUUUGGGCGGUCAAGCAAUGCAAUAUGGAUAUCGAGGAGGGCGGAAUUCAAAGGAAGUUGCAAUUACAAGAGUUGGAAGAAAUCCGAAAUGAAGCAUACGAGAAUGCAGUGAUCUAUAAAGAGAAGAAUCGGAUCUUUCAUGACCAACAGAUCUCUAGGAAGACAUUCGUCUGCGGGCAAAAAAUUUUACUAUACCACUCCAAAUUGAAACUAUUUCCAAGUAAAUUACGUUCUCGUUGGAUUGGCCCUUUUGUUGUGACUAAUGUCUUUCAUUAUGGUGCAGUAGAGAUCCAAAGUUUGAAAACGGAGAAGAAAUUUGUGGUGAAUGGUCACCGUCUCAAGCCGUAUUAUGAAGGAUUUCCAAUUGAACGGGUGGAGAUGAUGCAACUGGAAGACCCGAUUUGCUUAGUUUAAGCAAAUUCUGGACUCCGUCUAGCCAAAGACGUUAAAGAAAGGCGCUUUUGGGAGGCAACCCAAUUUUUGAUUUUGUUGAUUUUUGUUGUUCAAUUCGUUAAAUAUGUCGUUUCUCAUCUGGGUAUUGUUUAAACUUGAUAUUUUCUCUACUAUGAUCAGGACAGGUGAUCAUGGCGUGCCCGCGCAGAGAGGGCACGUAUUAAUCUUACAAGUUCCAACUUCAAGGUCAGAGGAUGUUUCUAAAACAUGGCAUGCCCACGCCAUGUUGGUAAAAUCUCAACAUUACAAAGUGGAAUCUUGGCGUGCCCACGCCAUGUUUAACAAAAAAAAAAAAAAAUCAAAAUCAAAAUGCUGUUAUUUUCCUUCUUAACACUCGUUUUAGUUUUUCAGCAAUUCAAUUCUGAAUUUAAAAAAAAAAAAAAAAACUGUAAGAUCAAAUUUUUUUUCCUUUCUUUUUUCUCUUUUCUUUCUUUUCUUUUUCUUUCUUUCUUUCUUUUUCUUUUCUUUCUUUCCUUUCUUUCUUUCUUUCUUCUUCUUUUCUUUCUUCUUCUUCCCGCUGUCCGUGUUUUCUUCUUCCUCGCGCACUCCGCCAACCUCUAUUCUCCACUUCGUGCGCCUCACCUCCAUCGCCACCACUGUCCACCACCCAUCCAGCUCCUCACCGCCUCCCUCUUCUCUCUCUCUUCACACCGCACGACAACCAGCUCGCGUCACAACUCCUGCAACCCAGAGCAGCACCGCCACUGCCUGCUGCUUUCUCAUCGCCAUACCCCCAGCUCCACCCCCACCCUCGGUCUCGCUUCUACCCACCUAGCUCGCUGUCACCACCAGUCCGCGUUUUCCAUCUUCCUCGCGCGCGUUUCCAUCUGCAGCUGACUGAGCCUCCCAGCAUCGCGAGCCACCAGCGGCAACCGCCGCCUCUUCAGCCAGCAACCAACUGCCGCCAACACUAUCCACAACCAGUGCAGCUCCUCCACCUCAGCUCAGCUCUCUCUCUCUCUCUCGCCAACCAUCCAUAACCGCCGCCCUCAAGCUCAUCCUGAAGCGUCCACCUCUGCAUGCAGCCGCCGCUGUCUCAGCUCUCUCCACCAGCCCACACCAACUCCAAGCUCCAUCUUCCUCCUCCUUGCGUGACUGCCACCAGCUUCACCAAGCAGCCGCGCACACGAAUCUCCACUCCAACGCAGCCACAACCGCAAAACCUCCGCUCUUGCAUUUUUCUCAUACCCCUUUGACUAUAAGAUAACAAGAAAUAUGGUGCGAUGGUGACUUUAGUUUAGUCCGUGCAAAGUGGAAACCUCAAGGUAUCGGCUCUAAUCAGAACAUCAAGGUAUCUCUGUAGCCUCAAUCAAGUAGAUUGUUUGGGUCAAAUGAAUGUUGUGAGCUGUGUUUUUAUUACUACUUGGAACAGUCAAGUGUUUGUGUGAGCUGCCUCUGUGAUAUUAAUUUGAAUUGUUGUGAUUUCUUGGAGACAAUUAUUGAGUUUCUGAAAGAAUUGUGACUAAUUACUGAUAUUGGUUGUUUUGAUUUGCUUGAGUUGAUAUUUUAUUACAUUAUUAGCAGUUGUGUUCUAAUAUUGUGUGUAGCUCCUUUUUCCGAUUGUUUGUUGAUUUGAAUGAUUAUUGAGAUUGGUUAAGUGUGUAUCUAACUGUCCAAUUGGAGACAAUUGUUGAGAUUUUGGGUCGAAUUGUGUUUAAAUUGCUGUAAUUUGUGUCCAAUUGUGGGUAAUUUGCUGAGAUUGUUUGUUAAAUUAGGAGGUGCUUGUAAUGCUUAAAUUUGCUUAUUGAAGUAGAUUGCCUCUAAUUGCCUUGUGUGAGAGUCUUUGGUCUUUUCCAUUUAAUUAUUACGUUGAUUGGGGUGAUUUUGAGGUGCAUUGUUAUUGCAUUUGGCUAAGUUUGGAACCACAAGUGCUUAUUGAUUGCAUUUACUAUAAGUGUUGGGGUAAAUGUAUAACUUGUGGGUGAUUGAAGUGUGCAUUUUGUUGUUUAAAUUAACUAAGCGAGAGGCCCCAAUAUUUAUUACAAUUGUUAUUACAAUUUGUUGGAAAUGGUUGUCUAUUGUUCAUUGGAGUGAUAUUUGGAGAAAAUGGUGAGACUCAGAUCAACCCCAGGGGCUAAUCCACCGAUGUCUUGACGAUUUCAGGGGAGUUUCGUUGCCAUUCUUCUUACUUUUUCUAUAUAUUUGUUACAUUGAGGGCAAUGUAUAUUUUAAGUGUGGGGGAGAUUUGGAUUUGAUUGGAGUUUCUUUAAAUUGUUGCUUUUCUUAUUGUUGUCUUGAUGAAUAAAUGUGGCAACUCACUCUUCUAUUGCUGGUUGUGAUUUAUCCUAUGAAUUUUGUUUAGAUGGCAAGUAAACGCAUGUUAUCUUGGUGAAUAUCAUGAGUUUAAUGACUUGGUGCAAAUUGUGGUUAACUUGUUUAGGCAAUAUAAAUAUUUUAUUAGCAAUUUUUGUGUGGAUUGGGCAAUUGUUGAUCUUAGUUCUCCAUAUUAGGAGAUGACGUGGGCCAUGAUCUUUAAUUAUCUGGCAUUCUGGUACUUUAAUUGUGAUUAAUAAAUGACUCUACUCCGCUAGUGCCGUCACCCAGUAACCGGGAGUCUUCACCACAAGUGUCGACUUUCGCGUCAAAAAGUGGCGAUAUCUAUGAGUAGUUAGUCCUGAAGCUGUGAAAAAUUGAGUAACUGGGCUCUUUCAUCUAAAAAUGUCAGAGUUCACGUCAAAAGACUUGAAUAGCUUGGGACUAAACAUUUAUUGAAAAAAAAAAGAGAGAGAGAAGAAAAUAAUGUGUAAGCUUAUGAUCAUGAUUGGCCUGCCGAUCCUUGUUCUUCAAUGUUGAGAUUUUGGUUUUCAGUUGACCAAAUUGCUAACUUUUGCUAGUUUAAUAUUUUGAUUUCUUAGACGAGUUAGCUAUGAAUUGGACGAGUCUACGAUUUCAGGAGCUAACCGGGAGAAAUAUGUCCUGACACUUAGCUACUAAAACUUGAUUUUGGGAUAAGCGCAGCUUGGCAGUAAAUGAAAUGAGAGUUAGCCAUUGUUGAAUUUAGUUGUUCCCAUGCUUGAGGGCAAGCAUGAUUUAAGUGUGGGGGGAAUUGAUAGGGUAUUAAUUGUUAGUAAUUUUAUCGUUAAUUCUCCUCUUUAUCCUUGCCAAAUAUUGCUCUAAUUGUGACAUGUACUUAUAUUUGGUAUUUGAAUCCAAUUUCAGAAAGUGGAGCAGAAACUAUCUUGAGAAGAUUAUUGUGAAACUCUAUACAAUUGGCCCAUAUGCAUGGUGUAAACCAACGUCCAUUUCUUUCUAUGAUGAAAAGGAAUUGAAUUGCAUUUGGCUGGCCAACAUCUCAAUUAGGUGGGGACCGCGAAGACUUGACCAUUGUGUAAAGACACAUUUUUGGUUUGCUCUCUUAUUUGUGAACGUGUGCACUUGGUCAAAGGAAACCGACAAACCAUAGUUGGCUUUGCUUUUGUUUUCGGUGGAGUUGAUUAGGUAGGGAAGGAAUGUUUUCUUUUGUGAGCAUGGAGUGAAGUUUCGAAUUGGCUUGUUUUUAUGCGUGGGGAGAGCCGCACAUUGGGGGAGUCAGUUUUUCUUCUUCUCUUCCGGCUGGGAAGAGAAGUUUUUAGUUUUGGAGUUUUCUCUAAAAAUAAGCUCCGUAGGAGGAUAGAGGAGUUUUUAGUUUUCUCUCCGAGGGAUGUUCCAGAGGAGAGAAUAGGGAGUUGUUUUGGUUUGUUGAAUUCUAGUGUGCAAUUUUCUUAUUCUCUUCCGAGAGCUUUGUUAUUCACUCUCUCAAUUAUCGAAGAAAGAUGAUGUCUUUAAAUUCAAUUGAAUUGUGUGAAGAUUUUCUUAUGAGGCGUGGCUAAUUUUCUCCUCUAGUCAAGGAUCAAUGCGAAGACGCAGUCCCAAUUAUCUGUGAGAUCUAAUUAAUUUUACGUGUUCCUUAAUUUAUUAAUAUUUGCAUGUUUUCUAUUUUAAUUUCCAUGGGAUUAUUUUGUUAAUUGGAUAUCAAGGGCCCGAUGUGCAAUUUGACUUUUUAAUCUCUUGUCAAAUUAAUCAAUUAAAUCCGUAAUUGUUUAGUUGGUUAAUAUUAGUGGCAACUAGUAUUUUCACAUACUAGGAGAACAUGCAAUCUGAUUUAAAUAACCCUCGUAGCGUGUUAUUAAUUUGGGUUAGGCUUUUCUAGUUUUUAAUGCAAUUAGGAAAUUAAUUCCUACGGUCGUACCUAGGAGUAUUUCCUGGUUAGAGGUAAUCAACGGUCGUACCUUGGUUAUCAAUAAAUUAAGGAAAAGCUGGUUGUUAGAGCUUAUCGGCGACUAUAACUAGCCUAUUAAUUAAAUUAAGUGAACCUUCUUUGCAUCAAUGAUCGAAUGAAUGGACUGUGUCUGCGUAGUUGUAUCCUUGGCUAGAAUUUAUUUAUUAUUUAUUUAAUUGUUAUUUACAAUUGUAUUAAUUAAUUAUUUAUUUUUGGUUAAAUUAUUUAAUUGUUUUUUAGUUAAAUUGUUUAAUUAUUUAUUUUAUAUUUCAUUUUGAUAAAAAUCCCCCGUGUCUCGAAUUUAAAAAGAAUCGAAUUUUUUCCCAGUCCCUGUGGAUUCGACCCUGCUUACUACUAUACACAGAAAAUUUAUUUUUCUUAAGCAGGUAUUUAUUAUUGCACAGGCACGACACCUGUCACUCUUACGACCAGGUCUUAGUAUUUUAGGCAUAUAUAAGCAUCCAGACUCCAAAUCACUUGAUUCUUGCAGCAUCGGAAAGCUAAUUGAAAUAUCUACAACUUUCAUGUUUUGAUCAAGAGUUGAUUCGGCCUUAUUGUUGGUGAUCUGGGCUUCAAAGGUGAUCUAUGUACGGAUUCGUACCGAUCCGCAGAUGGAUCCAUGACCGGUGUUGGAUAUCACCAAGGAAUUCCCGCCAAACAUCUUCAAAUUCUUUGGUGUUUUGAGAUUGGUCCAAUGACUGGUGCCGGACAUUGGGCCGAUCAUUGGGCUGGUCAUCAUCGAAAAAAUGCGCGAAAACGUGAUUUUUCAACUCUAAUAAAACCUAUUCCUACCUUGUUUAGGAUACAUCUUCAAGAAACUAUAAAUAAAGGUUCUUUAUGUCGUUUUGAGAGAGAAAACAUUAGGUUAGCAUUAGUUCAUCCUUUUUCCAUCUUCUUUUCUUGAGAGAUCCAGAAGAAAGAGUUGAAGAAUCAAAGAAGAAGAGCGAAACGGACAUCGAAGUAAGGGAAAUUGAGAAGUUUUCUUUACUUUUAUCUUUUUAUUUAUAUCUUUUCUUUAAAUUCUUGGUUUUAAUUAUGAAUAUGUUGAACUAAAUUAUAUCUAGGGUUACAGUUUUGUGAUGGAGUUUUGGAUUAUUUAUCUUAGUUAAAUUCUUAACUUUUGCCUUGAUUUAAUUGUAUAUUUGUGAUUGGCCAUCAUAUAUAUGCUCUUAGGGUUUGUAUUGAACCAAGAAGGGAUAUACAACCAUGCACUAGAUAGAUAAACAUACUUAGUCUAAUCACGAGAAUAGGUUAGGGUUUGUAUGAUACACUUAUAUCACCAAAGUUCUUAAUGGGUUUAAUUAAAUGCUUGUGAUUUCAAAAGAAACGUAGGAUUUAAUUAGGGAUACUUUAGAUGUAUUGAGAAAUAAUCUAAAAUACAAUUGUGUGAUGCAUUCAUGGUUUGUUAAGAAAUUAACUGGAUAAUUAAUUCAAACUUUAGAUCAAAACCUGAAACCUUAGUUUCUGCCAAUUGUUUUCUCACCUUUAUUAUUAGAUUUGAUUAUCUAUUUUCUUCUUUAAUUAGUUAAAAAUAAAUCGUUUGAAUUUUAUUAUUUGUCUAGAAUAAUUAAAGUAGAGAAAAUUAACUCAUUCUCGUGGGUUCGAUCCUGAAAUAUUCUAGGUGAUUUAUUACUGCGAUCGACCCUGUGCGCUUACAGGAAUUUGUCAAUCACCCUAUAAAGUAAAGGGAAACAUUAUUUGUACUCUAUUUUUUGUUAUUUGCACUUCCACCAUUUGUUUUAUCAUACAAUCUAAUAAAUGAAAAAUAUAUGAUUAAAAUGAUAGUGGGAGUAUGAUUAAAAAACAUAGGAGUGCAAAUAACAUUACAUGUAAGUAAAUUAUAUUUAUGUUUCUUUUUAACAUCAAAAGUUUCCUUUUUGACAUUCGAUAUACACUCUCCAUCCUAUUAAAAAUGUCCUACUUUUCAUUUUGGAAUGUCCUAAAAUGUUUUUCAUCACACCAAAAUUAAAGUUCCUUUUGAUCUCUUUUUUCAAUGUUAUCCCCACUAUUAUCUAUUUGAUAUUAAAUUUAAAUUUAGAAUUUUAAUUUUCGAGGAUAAUUUUAGAAACAAAACCAUUAACAUCAUCAUCAAGCCACUAUUUUUAAAGGUUCGAAUACAACUAAUUUGUGACGGAGGCAGCAACUCUUAAUUUUUUUCCUUUUUAUCUCAAAAUGAAACUACAAGUUCAAUGCUAAUACUUUUUUUCUUUUUUUUUUUCCAUUUCAAAACAAACCUGUAAGAUCACUCUUAAAUUUUACUCUUUUAUCAUCUCAAAACAAAACUUUGUGGUCACUCUUAACUCUUUCUCUUUUAUCAUCUCAAAACAAAACUUUGUGAUCACUCUUAAUUUUUUUUCUCCUUUUCAUCUCAAAACAAAACUUUGGGUAAGUUUUCAAUUAAUUUUCUUUCCUAAUUUGAGUGGCGUGGUUUUGGUCAUCAUUGGUGCAUUACAUCAUAAAUAUAAUUCGAUAAUUUCAUACAAUUAGCCUUUGAAUUAGUUAUUCAUACCACAAACCACCACACAUACACUCGUAUGUAUUCAUUCCAAAUGUGUUAGUUUUACAAUUCUUAGGAUAUAAUUCCUAGGUAUGUUUUGAUCCACAAUAUUAUUAAAAAGUCUUUCAACAUACUAGAUGCAGUCCAGUUAAAGAAACAGUUAAGAACUAAUUUAAAUAAAAGUCAAACUAUACAAGAGUAUUUUGUUUAAUAGGUUUGGUCAACGAGUGUCCUAGAGCAUGCGUUAUUAGUUAUUUUGAGUGUUAGCUAUUAAUAUUUUAGCAAAAGUGUAAUUAGUUCGGAAGAGUGAUGUGUGUAUUCAUACUGUAAAUUAGGUGCGAUUUAAGUGUUUUCAUGAGUUUCAGCACUCAUUAAAAAAUCCUUAACACAGUAAUCCUUGAGAGUGCAACUCCCUUUAAAUUAUCGGAAGGAAAAGGAAAAAACAAAGCCUGGCAAGAAACAAAAAAGUCUUCAACGUGUUUAAGCACCGCAGAAAAGUCUUCUAAGAAAAUUUGCACAACAAUUGCAGUGAACUUGACCCUCAAAUGUGAAAUCAAAUCAAGGCUGGAAAGAACACAUUACAAGUCUUCCCUGGCCCCCUAAGACGCCGAUUGGAAAGACCUUGACUUAGACUUUAAAAGCAGAGCUUUAAAAUUCACGCUACCUCAGAGUACUUAUCAGGAGGCCUAAAUUUCAUAUAUCUAACAUCGAUGGAGGUUGCAUGCAGCAAAGUUGUUCUUCUCCUGAUAUCGGCUACUGCACAAGCAGCAGGAGCAGCAAGAAAGCCUGCUCUUGGUUACACCGAAUACAGCGUAAUGGGUCUUAGCAUAUUUUUUGUGGUUUACUCACUAAUCGGUGGAUUACUAUGUUUAAUCCUCUGCAAAACUAAGGUCAAGAAAGUAGAAUCUGAGCCCUUAGACAACAAACAUGGAGAUGUUUUCAGAAUGUUGAACUAUGAUGGACAUAUGGCUUAUGAAGACAUAAUAAAAGCAACAAGAGGUUUUGAUGUCAGUUAUUGCAUUGGGAGAGGGGAUUAUGGCAGUGUGUACAAAGUGCAAUUGCCAAGUGGGAAAGUAGUGGCUGUGAAAAAGCUUCACCAUUUGGAAGGCAAGAAUCCAAAUUAUAAUAAGAGCUUUAGGAAUGAAGCCCGCAUGCUAUCCAGAAUCCGGCAUCGAAACAUUGUAAAGCUCUUUGGAUUCUGCCUGCACCAGAGAUCCAUGUUUUUUAUUUAUGAGUAUAUGGACAAGGAAGCUUGUUUUGUAUCUUGAGAGAUGAAAUUCAAGGUGUGGAGCUAGAUUGGAUUAAGAGAUUGAACUUGAUAAAUGGCAUUGCCAAUGCAUUGUCCUACUUGCAUCAUGAUUGUGAUCCACCAAUCAUUCACAGGGAUGUAUCAAGCAACAACAUUCUUUUGAAUUCACAGCUUAAAGCAACUCUAUCUGACUUUGGAACUGCAAAGAUUUUGAAACCUGAUUCCUCGAAUCAGACAGUAAUUGCAGGCACCUAUGGUUACAUUGCACCGGGUAUUUACCUUCUUAUUCCUAGAACACUUUCUUUUUUUCGCCUUGUUUCUGUUAUUUUAUCUCUGCACGUAUCAGGUUUAACUUCUACUAGAAAGAAAAAAGCAAAAAAGACCUGUAACUACAUAUUAUUGUUUUGCUGAACAGCAAGGUGUAGUACACGAUGUAUGGCUUAAAUUUUCGAAUAUUGAAAGGAUUGCAAUUGGAUUACUAGCUAGGUUUGGCAGCCUAGGAUUGUCCAGCUGAGAAUAACUUUAUUUUAUCCGCUACUUAUAAUUGCAGAGCUAGCCUAUACCGUGGCGGUCACUGAAAAGUCUGAUGUGUAUAGCUUUGGUGUUGUGGUACUGGAAACAUUGUUCGGAAAGCAUCCACAAGAUUUCCUUUCUUGCAUAUCCUCACAACCCAAUGAACCAAUAAUGAUGAAGGAUCUUCUUGAUGCCCGUCUGCCCCCUCCGACUAACCCUUUGGUCGUUCGAAAUGUGGUUGUCGCGACAGCGUUGGCCCUGGAUUGCGUCAACGCAAACCCGAAAUGUCGACCAACAAUGCAGCAAGUGGUGAACCGAUUUGAAGUGGGCAGGCGAGAAUCAACUAGGCCUUUGCACACCAUUGCUGUGAAUCAGUUUAUAAAAGUAGAAACAUGACCAAGCACUGAGAUCAUUGCAUAUACCAUAUAGUGUACUAAUAAAAAUAGAAAAAAAAAGUGUAGUAAUUAAUGAAAAGGAACUCUUAUAUGCCGAUUAAAAGCCUAGGAAAUUUUGUCAUCAAUAUCUAAGCCAAAGGAGAUUCUACUUGUUGGGCUUUAUUUCCAGAUUUAUACUUGAUUCUUCAAAACUUUAUAAAGCGAUCAUACCGUCUACUCAUCUAAUUAACUGAGUACAUGGGGAGCUAUAAAGUGGAAUAUUUUGUUUCACCAUGUGAAGGGCAUCAUAAUAAUUUUUUUCUUUUUACCCAAAUAAGUAUUAUUUGUGCUAAUACUCCUAAUGCUUAUAGAUGUGAUUAACGAAUCAACUGCUCUACUUGCAGGCUACUUGGCAAGUUUAAAAUAGUACCAUUAUUCUUUUGGGAUCAAAAUUGUAUAAAUUUCGUCAAAAGUGAAAAUAACUACUUCUUGAACGAACUGGGCAUAAUCAACUAGAAAGGAAGGCAAGGACCCAUAAAGACAUAUCAUGCUGUACCGCUGAAGUUGUCGAUUGGGUCUAUUCGUGGGCAUGACAAAUACUUACAUGGACCACAGUCCACGAAACCCAACAGGCAUCGUCCAAAUUUUCUCUCCACGUUUCUACCUGAACAACUUUGACAUCCGAUAGGAAACUCAAUAAUAUCAUGUUUUUGGAAAAUAGAAACAUUGGAAAGGAAAGAUGGAACCGUCAUCCAAGUUGAAUGAAAAGAAAUAUUGGAAAGCAUUAUGGAAGUUGGAUGUUCCUCCGAAGCUUAAAUGUUUUGCAUGGAGGUUGAUCAUGAAUAUCUUACCCACAGCGGUGAAUUUGAAGAAAAAGAUGCAGGGCUUUUAAUUCGUCAUGCCCUUGUUGUGGAGAGCAGCAGGAACAUGAUCGUCAUGUUUUCUUUGACUGCAAAUUUGCAAGACAAUUUUGGGAUCUCACAGACUUGUCCAUAGACUUUCAAAAGAUUAAAGCAUCAUGCAUGAAGGAACUCAUGGGAAUUAUUUUUGAAUCUGGUGAUAAAAUAGAAAUACAGAGUUUUGUAAUGACACUUUGGAUGAUCUGGCAUGCAAGGAACAAGCUCGUAUUUGAGGGAAUUUGCAUGAAGACAGAGGUGAUAGUGGACUGGGUGAGGGCAUAUCUAUGGGAAUUAAUCAAAGGAAUAGAAACAUGACCAAGCACUUAAAUUAUUAUUCUCUCUGUCCGAAAGAAAAUUGACAAAAGGGGAGAAAAAGUUUAAUUUAAGUACGUAAAUUGUUUUGAGUUGUUAUGAAUAGAAAAUUGAUAACAUUGAAAACUUUAAAAUUUUGAUCACAUUUAAUAGUGGUGAAAAAGUUUUUUUUUCUUUUUUUGGACGAUCAAUAGUGAUUCCCCACUUACCUUCAUGAUUGAUUUAAAUUCGUAACCUCUCAAUUAAAGGUGAAGUAUCUUACCAAUUAGGCUAUGCUUCAUUGUUAGAAACAAGAUUUGAAUGGUAAAAAAUAAUAGGGAAAUAUCUUUAAAGAGCGUGAUUUGGGCGAGGUAAUUGAGGAAAGUUUCAAUAAUGGUGAGAUAAUUUUCAAUUGUAAUUCAUCAAAAUAUAAAAAAAUCUGACCAAUAAGCUGACAGAGAAUCAUUCAAGAGUCUCAUACCAAAAAAAAAAAGUUUAAAAAAAAUAGUCUCAUACAAAGAUAAACUCAAUUUCAUUUAAUAUUUGUUCCAAAUUGUAGGCCUAUUUCCUUUUUAAAAGAGUAGUUAUCUUGAUAGUUUACUAAUAUGCCUACAUUUACUAUGUAAUAUUAUCAGCAAAAAUAUACUACUCCAUUAGUUAAUUAUUCUAGUUAGGAGGAAUAACAACACCGCCAAAAAAUAUAGAGCUGGAUUGUUUGGUAUCUUGAGAGAUGAAACUGAAGCUAUGGUGCUGGAUUGGAUUAGAAGAGUCAAUUUGAUCAAGUGCAUUGCCCAUGCAUUGUCCUACGUAGAGAUUCUUUUAAGAAUUGGACCGGUAAAAAUUCUCUUUUUGAUGGUGGACCGAAGUAUCAAAGUGUUAAGGAGUUUGGCUAGUGUUGGACCAAGUGCGCCAUGGGUUUGGCAGGGGGUCCAGUGGAUCAGGUGCAUCAUGGGUUUGACGGGAGGUCCGGUCGGUUAGACCAAGGAGUCAAAGAUUGGCAGGGUCUGGAAUGUAAUUUGGAUGUUGAAAAAGAGUGGGUCCAUAAAUGGGAAAAGAGGUGACCUUAAGUAAUAAGGUGGGCUUGCAUUGAGAAUUAAAGUAAAUUUGGAUACAAUAAUUUGUUUGGAGGGAUAGAAGAUAAUAAAAGUCAGGUAUGUGACAAAUCUGCACAAAUGGAAAAUUGCGGUCGUUACAUCUCACAACUUGCUUACACAUAGGGCUGCAAACGAGCCGAGCCGAGUCGAGCUUUGAGCUAAUCGAGCCGAGUCUCGACUAAAUUUUACCAAGCUCGAGCUCGAGCUCGAGCUCGACGAGCUGGCAAUUUUCGAGCUCGAGCUCGAAAAAAAUAAAAAAAAUUAUUUUAUUUUUAAAAAAAUAAAAAAAAUAAUAUUUUUUUCUGAAUAAAUAAUAAAAUAUUAAGGAUAUAUACGUAAUUUCGCUAUGAAAAUAAAAAAUUAAAAUAUAUUUAUAUAUAAUAUACGUAAUUUUAUUAUUAAAUAAAAAUAAAAAAUAUAUAUAAAUAUAUAUACUCAAGCUCGCGAGCCGGCUCGCGAGCUAACGAGCUUAAUAAUCUGAGCUCGAGUUCGAGCUCGAGGUUGACUCGAGCUGGCUCGAGCUCGACUCGAGCUCGAUUAAUCUCGAGCUCGACUCGAGCUUGACUCGAGCCGCUCGCGAGCGGCUCGAUUCGUUUGCAGCCCUACUUACACACAAUCUAUGACCACCAUUUUGAUAGAAGAGUUUUCUUUUUGUCGAUCUUUAUGUUCCUUUUAUAUUUUCUCUUUACCUUCUUUCUUAUUUAUUUUAAUGGUCACAUGAUAUGACAAUUUCCCUCAAAUGGGAAGGUAGAUUUAGUAAACUAAUUUAUCUAUCGGUGCCAAAAUGCUAAAAUUGUCAAAAACUAAAAUAUUUUAGUGGUGUAAUUGUCUUUACAUAACAUAACAGAUAAAGAUAGAAGUUGUUGUAUGCCAAACAGGAAUUGGACUUCGGGAUUAUUUUAUGUCUAUUUCGUGGAUACGGAAGACGAAUUAAAACCAAUAUCUAAUUAUGGAAGGGCAAGAUAUAUUUAAGCCUUUUUGUAAUGUCAUUUUUUCCUAUCAAACAACAUAUACGUGCCACCAAAUUUUCUACCCUCGUCACGAGACUCUCAAACAAUGCCAAAGAAAGUUCUGAUACUUUCUCUUUAUUCUUUGUUCUUUUACUGUUAAUCACAUUUAUAAGAUCUGGCAUUAGAUUUACCACAAAACUAAAGAGGACACUAUAGAAUUCAAAUUUAGGAUUCUAAUGAUAGUAAAUACGUGUAGGGUUAUAAAAUUGAAGAGAAAAAUAAUUACUCAAAAUAUUUAUGUGGGAGAAAAGAAGAUAAAUAAUUCACACUGUUAUUGAUAAGUUAUAUCAUAAUAAAACACUACAGAUACUCUUUUAAAAAAUACCUCAACUAAUGUCCUAUUUUAUAACCAAUCAGACUUAUAAAAUAAGAAAUUACUAUGUCAAGAAAUUAUCAAGUAAAACACAAAUUAUUAAAUAGGAAAACUACUAAAAACCCAUAAAACACAUGGCUACGAACCAUGGUGUUGAGGUUCAAAUCCCUUCUCGCUCACAACCGGCCCAAGAAAGAAGGGUAGAAUGGUGGGGAUAGCGAACUAAAAUUCCUUGGUAUUUUCACGAGUCAAGUUCGAGCCAUGGUAUUUUCACUUGAUCGAGCUCGAGUCCGAGUAGCACACAUAUCUAUCGAGUUCAAACUCGAAUGUGGUGCUACUCGAGCUCGACUCGACUUUAAUACACUCCUGGUACAGGCCUGGGCCUUGAUGUUUUCUGUUUCUAGUAGCACCAAGGCCCUGAUGUAUUGUAAAGCUUAUACAUAGCGUCCAUAAGGUUUUGAAUCUUAUGGCUUGUAAAGCUUGUAGUAGCCAUAAGCUUGUAGCAUCGCCACGGUUUGUAGUUAUCCAUCAGGCGAUUGUACUCUACUAAGCAAUAUUUCUGUCCCAAAUGCAAAUAGAGUCAUUGACUCGGAUUUAAGUUUCUGAAGUCUGAGGACCAACGUGUAAGAAAGGUCGCACAACAACUUCUAUUCUAGUGAAGACAGAUCUUUACUCUCAAAAGUGAAAUCAAAUCAAGACCAGAAAGAACACAUUUUUGCAAUUCUUCCACACAAUAUAUAGAUUGGAAAGACCUUGACUAAGACUUUAAAUGCAAGUCUUUUCAUAUAUAUAUCAUGUGGUCUUGUACAGUAACAUCGAUGGAUGUUGUACGUAGCAUGGUUGUUCUUCUCCCGAUACCAGCUACUGCGCGAGCAACGGAAGCAGCAACAAAGUCUAUCUGCUCUUGAUUACAGCAAAAAGCACGUAACGGGUCUUAGCAUGUAAUCUUUGUGGUUUACUCAUUAAUUGGUGGAUUACUAUUUCUAAUCCUCUGCAGGUCCAAGGUCAUGAUCAAUUUAAGAGAGAGCAACGAAAUUAAAAGGCAACAUCAUGCAUUUAAAACUUGAAUAGUAUAUCUUAUGCGUUACUAAUUAUUGUAACAUUGAUUUUGGCUUUCAAAAUUUGACCAAACAAUUUUCAUUUUGGGGAAAACUAAUCACAUAUAAGAUCAUGAUCAUAUGUAGACCUAUGCUAUGCACAAGAGAAACAAAUAACCGUGUAAUUCACUUUUCAAAAUUGGUGUCCAAAAAAGAAUUAUUGACAAAAUAUCAAGAUUGUGCUGGUCGGUCUACACAUCAUACCUAUUAUUACUAUAUCAUUUAUGACAUCAAAUGCUGCAUUUCGUGUUGCACAUUUUAAUCAAUUACACUAAUAAACAUUUAACUGUGCGCUUGUUAGUGAGUUAAAUGCCUAUGACCAGAUAGACCUAGUUAGGUAUGUCUGGACUAAAUCUAUAGAAAUGCAAACGAAGAAUCAUUACAGUUUAAACUCAUAUGUCUUAGCGUUCACAUGUCACGAAUUUGAUUGCCCAUAGAAGGCAAAAGAGAUUAAAAAAAAAAGAGUAUUGAAUUACUGGCAGCGAAAUGUACUUUUUAAGACCGAAACAUUACUAAUUUGCUCCCUUUCUCGCUAGUCUCAAACAACAAAAACGAAAGUUCUUGGAUUUUUAAAAUGCGCAUAUCACAUUGCUUUUAACAAUCCGUGUGAAUGAUGCAGAUUGGAAAGAUACUACUGGCUUGACUCCAUUUUAAAUGCGAGUUUUUCAGUCCAGACUACAUAAUCAGGGCGGGCGCUUACAUUUCAUCUAUCUUGUGUUAAUUACGGUCUUUCAUGGUACUAGCAUCGAUGGAUGUUGUAUGCAGCGGAUUUGUUCUUCUCAUGAUACUGGCUAUUGCACCAGUAGCGGCAGCAGCAGCAAAGGAGUCUGCUGUGAAUUUAUUGGAAGCUGAAGCACUGCUCAAGAGUGGCUGGUGGCGAGACGAUACUGCUGCAAGAAACGUCUCUGCCCACUGCCAGUGGCGUGGUAUCAUUUGCAACGAUGCUGGUAGUGUUACCGACAUACUACUUCCAAACUACGGAAUUCUGGAUGGCUUGACAAAUUUCAGCUUCUCUUCUUUUCGGAACCUGGUUAGACUAGAUCUCAGUGGAAAUAACUUUUACGAAGCUAUCCCAUAUCAAACAGGUGCACUCUCCAAACUCACCUAUCUCAAUUUGUCUUUAAACGAUCUUCAUGGCCAGCUCCCUUCUUCUCUAGUAAACCUUACACACCUAGCACAACUUGAUGUUUCUUGGAACUGGAUUGGAGGUUUAAUUCCUCCAGGUAUCGGAAACUUGACAGAUUUGGUUACUCUAGAUUUGAGCCAGAAUUGCUUUUGGGGCCGCAUCCCACCAACUCUUGGCCACUUGUCCAAUCUGGCCUCCAUUAACCUCAGCAAUAACUACUUCAGUGGGACAAUUCCUUCAGCUCUUUUUAAUUUGACAAAUCUUUCCCGGCUAGACAUUCACUUCAAUCCUGCAAUGGGAGGAUUUCUCUCAGAAGAAAUAGGAAAUUUGAAGAGUUUAGUUGAAUUAGACUUCAGUGGCCUUAAUCUUUCAGGAGCCCUCCCUUUAACUCUUUGCCGCCUAACCAAACUAGUAUCUCUUUCAGGUGCUGAGAAUCAAAUUCAUGGUUCCAUUCCCUCUGAAAUAGGAAAUUUGAAAAUUUUGGAACAUCUUGUCCUUGGGUCCAACCGGCUGACUGGUCAAAUCCCUCCGACCCUUCGCAAUCUGACUACUCUAGUUACUUUGAACCUCUCUUCUAACCAAAUAAGUGGUUCCAUACCUCUUCAACUUUCCGGUAUACCUUCUCUAACAUUUCUAGAUCUUUCCUAUAAUGCUUUGGAAGGUGAACUUCCGUGUGAGCUUGUCACUAAGUUUGGUUCAGAAAAUUUUGUCGGCAAUCCAGACUUGCAUCACGAUUCCACUCUUUGUGGCGAUCACAGACAUCACCCCCCAUACUACAUCAUAGGUCUUGGCGUGUCCUUCUUGGUGUUCUCAUUAAUUGGCGGAUUAGUGCUUUAUAUCUUCUGCAAAACCAAAGUCAAGAAAGUGGAACUUGAGCUGAUGGACAAUAAACACGGAGACAUUUUCAGAAUAUGGAACUAUGAUGGACAUAUGGCUUAUGAAGACAUAAUUAAAGCAACAAACGAUUUUGAUGUCUGUUAUUGCAUCGGGACAGGGGGUUAUGGCUCUGUAUACAGAGCUCGGUUGCCAAGUGGGAAAGUAGUGGCUUUGAAAAAGCUUCACCGUUUGGAAGGCGAGAAUCCAAAUUUUGACAAGAGCUUUAGGAAUGAAGCCGACAUGCUAUCUAAAAUCAGGCACAGGAACAUUGUAAAGCUCUUCGGAUUCUGCCUGCACAAGCGAUGCAUGUUUCUGAUUUAUGAGUAUAUGGACAGAGGAAGCUUGUUUUGUAUCUUGAGAGAUGAAACUGAAGCUGUGGAACUGGAUUGGAUUAAAAGAGUGAAUUUGAUCAAGGGCAUUGCCGGUGCAUUGUCCUACUUGCAUCACGAUUGUGAUCCGCCAAUCAUUCACAGGGAUGUAUCAAGCAACAACAUUCUUUUGAAUUCACAGCUCGAAGCAACUCUUUCUGACUUUGGAACUGCGAGGAUUUUGGAACUUGAUUCAUCAAAUCAAACGGUCACUGCAGGCACCUUUGGUUACAUGGCACCAGGUAGGUUACCUUGCUAUCCCAGAUCCCUUUCUGCUUUUCACCUUGUUUUUCAUAUUUUCUUGAUGCACAUUUUAGGCUUAACUUUCAAGAACAGAAAAGAAAAAAAAUUCUUCCAACUGAAACGAUUAUUAUUAUUAUUUUUGGAAUAGUAAGUCUAGAGUUGUCCCAGUUGAGAUUAACUUUAUCUGUAUCCAAAUAUAUACUUACUUGUCAAUGCAGAGCUAGCCUAUACCAUGGCGGUCACUGAAAAGUCCGAUAUGUAUAGCUUUGGCGUUGUGGUGCUGGAAACGCUGUUUGGAGAGCAUCCACGAGAAUUCCUUUCGUUCAUAGCAUCACAACCCAAUGAACCAAUAAUGUUGAAGGAUCUUCUUGAUGCCCGUCUGCCCCCUCCGACUAACCAUUUGGUCGUUCGAAAUGUGGCUGUUGCAACAGCGUUAGCCCUGGAUUGCGUCAACACAAACCCGAAAUGUCGACCAACAAUGCAGCAAGUGGUGAACCGAUUUGAAGUGGGCAGGCGAGAACCAACUAGGCCUUUGCACGCCAUUGCUGUGAACCAGCUUGUUAGUCCACCAGUACUUUCACUGCCUGACCAAACCUGCGCAGAUGGGAGGAGUAGCUCAAGCACCAUAAAUGAAUUCCAUGUGGAUAUCUCUGCGACUCUGCCAUCAUCCAAUUUUUCUAUCCAUGUUUCU
rnacentral:lncRNA from 1 species